GUCUGGAUCUUCGCGUCCUACGACUAAGUAUGCAAGAGGAAUGACAGAUAGAGAGGCAGAAGUUCACUUAAAAAAACUAAAUACUCCACUAUUUAGAAAAAAAGAUUACAACACAUAUAUAUAUACUCCUUUUUGUGUGUUUUGGUCUUAGCCAAACGCACUAUUUAUAAGGCUAAGAAUACAAUGAACCUAGCCACAUAACUCACCCACUAGCCUACACAUAAUGAGCCCUCAUUAUACCCAAAAGUCCAAAAGUCACUCUAUUAACUUUUGGUAGUUUUGUAAUCUUUGAGCUUUCAUCAUUGAUAGGAGAAGUUACAAAAUCCUUAAUCUCCUGACAGCGGGUUGGGUUUGGGUUUGGGUCUCUAUGACAACCCAAUUCAACCCGUUUUCACUAGCAGAGUUGGGCUAAGGACUCAGAUUGCAUAGCAAUUUGGCUAAGUCCCUGACAUGCUGCUGUUUCUCUUGCUGUUAUCGGCCAUUCCCCUUUUCAUCGGCGUAACAUCAAACACCUCUAGGGACGUCAAUGGGUAUGGAUACCCGAAAUAUUAUCCGAACCCGAACCCGAACGGGGCGGGUUUAUCCGAGUUAAACGGGUAUGGAUUCAGUUAUGGGUAUGGAAAAUAAAAACCAGACAGAUAUGGAUACGGGUAUGGAUUUUGUAUUUACCCAACCCGAACCCGAACCCGAACCCGAACCCGAACCCGAACCCGAACCCGAACCCGAACCCGAACCCGAAUAAAUUAUACAUAUACAUAAUUUAUUUAUAUAAUAUAUAAAAUAUUUAAUAAUUUUUAUUCUUUAGAUCUUUAUUCAACAGUAUGGAUUUUUAAAACCCACCGGGUCCGGGUUCGGAUUUCGGGUUUUUUAUCGGGUACGGAUAUGGGUAUGGAUUUUUAAAACCCGCCAAGUUCGGGUCUGGAUACAGGUUUUAAUUUGGUUUUCGGGUUCGGGUUCGGGUUCGGAUUUUUAAAAAUCCGACCCAAAUCCGACCCGUUGACAUCCCUAAACACCUCAUAGGCAUUUCGCAAGCCAAAUUAAACAAGCAUCAGCAAACAAGGAAGAGGAGCAGAAGACGACGACAACAACAACAACAACAAACAACAACGAUAAUAAGAAUAUCAGUGUGAAACAACCGUUGUACUCUAAAAGUUUAAACUGUUAGAGAACGGUGUUUAUAUAUUUUUAUAUUUAACAUUCUUUCUCAUGUCUGGACUCGAAACUCUUUAGUUGGCCUGUGACGUAGGCUUGAAUUAAAGGGGAGAAAACUAAUACGCAAGGAGUCUGGCAUGACUCUAACUCAGGACCUCCUGCUCUGAUACCAUGUGAAACAACCGUUGUAUUCUAAAAACUUAAGCUGCUAUAGAACGGUAUUUAUAUGUUUUUAUAUUUAAUAACCAGCACAACAAACCCUAGAAAUUGGGAGCAGUGACGGGUUCAGCUCCGACGCCAUUGAUGAGCUCGGAGGAGGAAGGAGCAGCUCAAGAAGAAGACGAAGAGGAGGAGAAGGUGGUGGUGAUUUUGAAAAUGGAUACGGAAAUGGAUAUUGAUAAAUGUGGCGGUGAACUGGUGAUGGGCCGCACCGCAUCUCUAAAACGGGUUAAUUAAUGGAUAGCUCCGCAUGAGUUCACCUGCCCGUUUCUGCCUACCCGAAUCCGAUCCACGAGAUCGGCUUGACUCGAACUUAUUAGACUCCCCCAAUCAGCCGCACGAAUCGUAAAGCUACAACAUCUUAUGCAAACCUCUCUCUCUCUCUAUAUAUAUAUAUAUAUACAUGUGCGUAUGUAUGCAACCACACAACACAAGCAUUUGCACCACGUACGCACGUAAUUAGGAGUGAUUUGAAAAAAGAAAGAUCAAGAGCACGUACGUAGAAGCCAUGCAAAGGCCGAGCUCCGCGCCAUCGGCCUCCUCUCCGCGGCCCCGCACCGACGCCGGCUUUGGCAUCCCCCGUCCGUUGCCGCCACGCCACCUAGACCCGGCGGCAGCGCCGAUCCGGCCAUUGUUGCUGCCAGAGGCGCCGAACGACCUCCCGGUGAUGGCGGCGACGGUGGCGCAGCUGGCGGCGGAGGCGGCGGCCGCCGAGCGCGCCGGCUUCGGGGCUGCGGCGUACCGUCGGCGGCUGCAGCGGCUGCGGCAGAUUCUGGAGCGGUACGAAUGGCAGGCGCGGCGGUCGCAGGCGCGGCGGUCGCAGGCGCAGCGGCUCUUCUGGGAGCUGCGGGCGAUCGCCGAGGAGGAGCGGCAGGGGCAGCGGGUGAUGCGGGUGGCGAACAACGAGUUCAACCACAUCGCCGCCGCCGACCCGCGGUACAACAACUAGGACGUACGUGGCCGGGGACGACGAGCGAGGACGAGGACGAGGACAAGAACAAGAAUUGCGUGGCCCGAGCCGUGAGGACAUUCCUUUUUCUUUUUUUUUUCUCACAUAGGAUUUAUAUCAAUCCAAUUCUUUUCUUCGGAUUUUAUACUGCUUCAGUUGCAUCUGUACCAUUCCAAUUCUUACUAAAUCGAUUCUUUUUACGGAGGAUUUAAUCCAAACCAAUUUCGUUUCGAUUCUUUCAAUCUCGUUUCGUGCAUUAAUUUCUUUAUCCAGCGUAAUCUAAUUUUAAGUUCGAUCAAAUUCGAAUUCGUCCUGUUUUCGUAUUAUGCCUAUUGUGCUCAUUUGUGCAAUUCGAAUUUUGGCGCGCAAUGUCGUAAGAAAUUAAUUUUAUCGUUAACAAGAUCAUAUUCAAAACUUUUAGUUUCAUUUUUUUUCAAACCGAUCGAUCUUGUCCCAUUCUGAGAUGUUCCCUAGCUAGAUUAGGAUAUUUCUAAAUUAUAUAUGGAAAAAAAUUAUAUUAUUUUAGUAUUUAUAGAAUUAAGGUUAAUUAGCUUUUAUAUGUGUGUGUGUAUUUUAUGGUUUGAAGAAUAAUGAGAAAAAUUAGUUGUUUAAUUAUAAUUUUCUUUCUUGUUCUCUUCCUCCUUAUUUCCCUACUUCUAAAUAUCUCUUUCUUUUGAUCACCUCGAAUAGAUCGUUUAUCACUAUCGAUGUAAUAGAAUGGUAUCACAUUCUCAUAUAUUAUAUUGGGCUUAUACAAUAUAAACUUUUUAUAAAGUUAUGGGUAAAUGAUUUUCAAAUUUAUUUUAUCGUAGUUUCUGGUUUAAACUUUUAAAUUGUUGCAAAUUAAAAUUUAGUUGAAUAGAUACUUACAUUAUCUUAGUCAUUAUGACAUUACUGAUUAUCAUAUUAUUGCAUCACUGCUAAAUUAGCGACACAUCAUUAUUUAUUUAACUACGUAAAUUAAAUUGUAAGACUUAUUUUCAUUAAUUUGAAAAAUCUGAGUUAGAAAUUGUAAUAAAUUAAAAUUUGAGAACAUAUAAAAUUAUAUGAAACAACCAAAGUUCUCUAAAUGCUCAAGAUCAUAGAGAAUGAUAUUUUUAUAUUUUUAUAUUUUGCGCUUUCCUCAUGCUUGGACUCAAUUUUUAUAUUUUUUAUAGUUAAUGUUGUGGCUUAAGACUUUUAGAUAUACCCAAGACAUGAACUUUAAUUAAAUCAAAUAAGAGAAAAUUAAUUAGAUUACGAUGUGAACUUAAAUUAAAUUAAAUAAGAGAAAAUUAAUUAGAUUACAUUUUAUAUUUAGCACUUCUUCUCAAAUCUGGGCUGAUGUGAACUUAAAUUAAAUUAAAUGGGAUGAAAUUAAUUCUGAUAGCAUUUCAUUUUUGAAAGAAAGGUAGCAUAUUGUGCUAAUAAUUUUUUAAGAAAUUGCUUUGAUGUAAUAUGUAAAUGAAUGGUGAUAAAAUGCUUUCAUAUAUACAUAGUAAUGAUUUUGAUGUAAGGGAGUAGAAGUAGCAAUAUAAUUGUUUCUGGUUUAAUUAUGUUUUUUUUAAAAAAAAUUUAGUAAAAAUUUACGAAACUUAUCUCAACUAUAGAUCAUUUUGAGUUGACUAUCCAAUAUUUCAAAAUUUUAAUUUUACGAUCUAAUUUUUAAAUUUGCUUAAUUUGAAUCGGUCAACAGUAUUUUGACCUCAUAAUUUGAAUGCAUCGUUUAUCUUUUCAAGUUCAGAUUGUGUUUAAAGCAAUUCUUACAAUUGUAAAUUUAUUAAAAUAAGUAAUUUUCUUAAAUAUUUAAAGUCAAAAUAUUAUUGAUUGAUUUAAAUUAAACAAAUUAUAAGGUUGGAUGGUAAAAUUAAUUUUGUAUAGUUAAUUCAAAAUGGUGCAUAAUGUGGGUGGGUAGGGUGUGGGAUCGGAGAAAAUAUAUUUAACGGGUUUGGACGGAGCGUAAUUUCUCUACAAUUGCAAACAAAGGGAAAUCAAAAGUAGCGGCCUUUCAUGAGAGAUGAAGGGGUAUAUAACUGCUGCAAUUAAUUCUUAUAUAAUUGCUAGCGAAAACCAAGAGUCGACAUUGAUAACUUUUGGAAUCACUAGGUAUUCACGCAUGCGGACUCAUGAUUAUUUAAUAAUGGGCUAGUUAAUAUGCUUUAAUGAGAGAGAUUUUUUUUUUUGACAAAUAGAUAGCACACUAACCGCUUCGUUUAUUUCAUUUAAAAAUAAACUUAGCUGAAAAUUUAGUGAGAGAAAGUUAGUGUAGACUUUAUUCAUACAAAUUAUAGAGAAUGCUAAGGCAAAAAGAAGAAGAGAGGAAAUAUAGAUAGAAACACAUGAGGAGUUGUAUAUUAUAUUCCUAUUCUUCUAAACAGUGGAGUACUUAGUUUCUUAGCAAGUCUCUGCGCGCCUCUCUCUUUUCUCUCUUUUCGCAUACAUAGUCACAGAGCACGUAGGUCCGGAUCAGCAAGAAGGAGUAGGCUUGCACAUCUUUGCGAAGAAAGGCGGGUGCCGCACGGACUUUGCACACAAAAAUGUUAACACCGUGAACAGCUCAAGAAGAAGAAGAAGAAGAAGAAGAAGAGGAUAAGGUGGUGAUGAUUUUCUUUUGAAAAUGGAUAUGGAAAUGGGGACCGAGUUAUUAUAUAAUCGAUCCAAAUAGAAUAAUAUAUAUGGUGACGAUGGGCCAAAUCAUCUCUAAAACGGGUUAAUUAAUGGAUAUUGGAGCUCCGCAUGAGUUCACCUGCCCGUUUAUGCCUACCCGGAUCCGAUCCACGAGAUCGGCUUAGACUAGAACUUAUUAGACUCCCCAACCAGCCGCACGAAUCGUAAAGCUACAACAUUUUAUGCAAACCCCUAUAUAUAUAUAUAUAUAUAUAUAUAUAGAAUUAGGCUACUAUACUAUCUAUAGUACCGAAGCUCCGGUACUAUAGUAUUGUUUUCGAUCUUAGAGCGUUCAAAUCAACGAUCCAUAUCGUUAAAUAUGAUUUAGGGUAUAUGAAGUUCUUAGGAAUAAAAUUUUUAAUUUUUUUCAAAUAUCGUUUAUUAGUAAAUAAAUUAUAUCAAAAUAGACGGUGGAAAUUGAAUACUCUUAAAAUUGAGCAUAGGACUUUUAAAUUCAAAAUCAAGAAUGUUAACCUUAAAUCUAUAUAAGUUUAAAGUAUUUUCCUAUCUAUAAAAAUUGAAGAAAUUUAAAUUCUUCUACACCGAAAUCAACUCAAACUCGUCAAAAUAAGCCAUUGAAAAUUGACAAUUUUGAAAUUAUUUGAUCAUAAAGUAAAACUAUGUCGAAAAAAUAUAAAAUUUUAUUUCUAAAAACUUUAAAUAACGCUAGAUUUAGGUUUAACGAUAUGAAUCGUUGAUUUUAAAUAGCCGAAAAUCACAAAAACGAGAUUAUAGUACCGAAGCUCCGUAAUAUAAAUAAUAUAAGGAGUCUAGUUCUAUAUAUACAUAUAUAUAUAUAAAUAUAUAAUAUAUAUAUAAUAUAUAUACUACUAUAGUAUAUAUAUUAUAUAUAUAUAUAUAUAUGUAGUUGCAACCACACAAACAAACAUUUGCCCACACGUACCUAAUUAGGAGAGAUUUAAAAAAAAAGAAAGAUCAAGGAGUACGUAGAAGCCAUGCAAACGCCGAGCUCCACGUCGUCGGUCUUCUCUCCGCCGCCACGCGCCGUGGCCGACGCCCGGCACGCAAACCCCGACGCCGUGCCCGGCGCGCGCUUCAUGGACGGCCUGCCGGCGCACCUCCAAAACGAGGUGGCGGCGGAGAUCCGGCGCAGGUGCUGCAGGGGCGCCGCACAAGGCGGAGCUCCGGGCGAUGGCGGCGACGGUGGCGCGGCUUGAGGCAGAGGCGGCGGCAGCCGAGCGCGCCUGCUUCGGGCCGCGGCGGCGUAUGGCAGGUGGCUGCCGCACUGCGCAGUUCCUGGUGCUGUACGAACGGCAGGCGUCGGCGGUGCGCAAGCGGGGUCGUCGGGCUCAGGUGCUCUUCUGGGAGCUGCGCGGGCGAUCGACGAGGAGGAGCGGGUGGGGCUGCGGGCGAUGCAGGCGCGCGCGCGACGAGUUCAACCGGCAUCGCCGCCGCCGCCCGCCCCGUGUGGAGAACAACUAGCCGUGGCACGGACGAGGACAGGACAAGGACUAGGUACAAGAAAUUGCGUGUACGCCGGGCUGUUCUUUACAUCAUCAGAUAGAGUGACAUCUUUUUCACAUAGGAUUUAUACCAAUCCAAUUCUUUUCUUCGAAUUUUUUACUGCUUCAGUUGCAUCUGUACGUACUAUUUCAAUUCUUACUAAUUCGAUUCUUUUUACGUAGGAUUCAUACCAAACCAAUUUCGUUUUGAUUCUUUCAAUCUGGUUUCGUGCAUUUCUUUACCUAGCAUAAUAUAAUUUUAAGUUCGAUCAAAUUCAAAUUCGUCCGGUUUUCGUAUUAUGUCUACUGUGCUCAUUUGCGCAAUUCGAAUUUUGGUAAUGUCGUAAGAAAUUAAUUUUAGCGUUAACAAGAUCGUAUUCAAAAAUUUUACUUUCAUUUUUUUAAAACCGAUCGAUCUCGUCCCAUUCUGAGAUGUUCCCCAGCUAGAUUAGGAUAUAUAUUUCUAAAUUAUGGAAAAUUAUAUUAUUUUACUAUUUUAUAGAAUUAGGGUUAGCAUAUAUAUAUACAUAGAGUGCGUCUGGGGUGCUUUCGGAAGCACGGAGCGCUCCGUGCUUCCACUUUGUUUUCGAUGUUGGGACUUUCAAAUCGACGAUCGGCUCCGUUAGACUUGAUCUAGAGUAUUUGAAGUAUCUAGAAAAUAAAUUUUGCGAUUUUUCGAUAUCAUUUGCCUAGUGAUCGAAGUGGCUCAAAAUCAACGGCUGAAAAUAAAAAUCUCACAAAAUAUGAUGAUAUGACAUUAAAAUUUUAGAUCAAAGUUAUUGAUCUUGUUUUAUAUGGUAUAAAGAAUUUUCUAUCAAAAUUUCACGUGAUUUGGAUAUUUCUACACCGUUAAACUUGCAACCGGUUCACCACAGCCGUUAAAAUUAUUGAUUUUGAGCCCCUUCGAUCACUAGGCAAAUGAUAUCGAAAAUCGCAAAAUUUAAUUUCUUGGUACUUUAAAUACUCUAGAUCAAUUCUAACGGAGCCGAUCGUCGAUUCGAAAGUCCGAACAUCGAAAACAAAGUGGAAGCACGGAGGCCUCCGUGCUUACGAAAGCAUACCAGCCCACUCUAUAUACAUAUGUGUAUAUUUUAUGAUUUGAAGAAUAAUGAGAAAUUAGUUGUUUAAUUAUAUUUUCUUUCUUGUUCUCUUUCUCCUUAUUUCUAUACCUCUAAAUAUUUCUUUCUUUCGAUCACCUCGAGUAGAUCGUUUAUCACUAUCGAUACAAUAGAGAUACAAUAGAGUCGUAUCACAUUCUCCUCUAUUAUAUUGUGUUUAUACAAUAUAAACUUGUUAUAAAGCUAUGGGUAAAUGAUUUUCAAAUUUUAUUUUAUCGUAGUUUCUGGUUUAAAUUUCUAAAUUGCUGCAAAUUAAUUAACUUAUACAGACUAAUUUAAUUGAAUAGAUACUUAUGUUGUCUUAAGCAUUAUAACAUUAUUGAUUAUCAUACUAUUGCAUCACUGCUAAAUUAGCGGCACAUCAUUAGUUAACCACGUAAAUUAAAUUGUAAGGCUUAUAUGCAUCAGUUUGAAAAAUCUCACUCAAAAAUCAUAAGAAAUUAAAAUUUGAGAACUUGUAAAAUUAUAUAAAACAACCGCAGUUCUCUAAAUGCUCAAAAUCGUAAAGAAUGAUAUUUUUAUAUUUUUAUAUUUAGCACUUUCCUCAUAUCUGGGCUCAAUUUUUAUAUUUUUUAUAUUUAGCACUCCCUUUGACGUCGGGGCUAAAGAUUUUCUGAUAGACCCACGACGUAAACUUAAAUUAAAUUAAAUAAAAGAAAAUCAAUUAGGAUUAUUUUUUAUAUUUAGCACUUUCUCUCAAAUCUAGGCUGAUGUGAACUUAAAUUAAAUUAAAUGCAUGGGAUGAAUUUAACAUCAAAACUAAAUCAAUUAAUGGCCAAAACUAUGUUAAAGCAAUCAUAAAGUGAGCUUGAAACACGAAUCCGCUACCGCGAUUUGCGAUACGGCAAAACUGUACAGAUUUUGUCGUAUCGCAAACGGUUAAAAAUAAAAAUCUCAUAAAAAAAUAGUGGUCAAAAUACUUACAUUUUAAAAUCGGAACUAUUGAUCUUACUGGCGAUGCGAAGUAAAAUUUUGUAUUAAAACUUUAACUAAUUUGAGCUGUUCUACCUGUUGAACUUACAUGCUUACUUCAUCGGUCUUUAAAAUGGUUAUUUUUUAGACUCUUUAAUCUUUCAACUAUAAUAAACAAUGAUUUAAAAAUCAGGUCGAAUCGAUCGGCUCGACCUGUCCGAUCGUGACUCAGUCAUAGUGUGGUUUGAUUUAACCCUCUGAAUGGAUAAGUUAAAAAAUCGUUUUGAACCGCUCAAACCGGCGAUUCAACCAUCGACUCGGUGAAUCGUCUGAUUUUAAUCAAGCCGGCUAUAUUUUUUUUAUCAUGUCAUAUUAAAAUUUAACAACUUAAAAUCAACUAGUUCAGAGCUACAAUUCUAAAUUUUAAAGGAACAAAAUAAAAGUCUUUAAAAGCCAAAAAAUAAAAAAAAAAAAGGUAAUCAUUUAUAAAAGGCUAUAUUAUAAAAAAUCCUCUUAUAAAUACCCACUUUUUUUAAUUUUUCUUCCAUAACUUUCAAAAAUUUAUAUUUUAUCCCCUCAACGUUUUAAGUUGUUGCAUUUCGCCCCACUCCGCUUUGGUUUCAUCAUCAUUCCGUCCAUUUCUUAUAAUAUAUACCUAAAAAAUCUUUCAAAAUGACAAAAAUAUAUUAAAAAAUUAUAUUUUUUCUUAACACAAGGAAUUAAUAAGGACAAUUUGAUUAUUUUGCCCUCUCCAUUAACGUUAUACUCUUCCUGAAAAUAUUUUUAAAAUUUUAAAAAGACAAUAUAAAAUUUAAAAAGUCAAAGAGAAAAAAAAAAUAUUUAUAAAAUAGAGUAAUUUAGCCUCAUUAAAAUAUUUUUUAAAAAAAAACUAGGUCAAAUUUUAAGUUUUCUAAUCUUAUUUUAUUUUAUAUUUUUUUUUGUCAUUUCCAUGUUCACAUGGCAUUCAUUGAUUCUUACCUGUCACUGCAAGUGAGCAGGUGUUGACCAUGCUAUUAAUUAAUUAAUUAAUUAAUAUAAGAUCUUGUAUUUACUGCACAUAAUUUUUAAUUAAUAAAAUAAAUAAAAUAAAUUAUUAUUCUCAUACAUUAAUGAUCUCAACUCGGACCCACGUGUGCAAGGAUCUGAGGUGCAUGCACGCACGUGUCACGUGCGUGCACCUACCCCACUGCCACAUGUAUCGAGGAUCAAAUGCUUUGUGCACAAAUUAUUAUUAUCUAUCUAUAAAUUAUAAAAAUUAUAUAUUUAUUACCAUCAAAUUUUAUAAACUCUUAUAAUUAAUUGUUGGCCAAUUUGCAUAAAAAAUCCACUAGUUUUGCGUUUUUGCAAAAAUGGGUAAUCUUUUUUGAUUUUGUAGAUUCGAACCGGAUUUUCAGCCGCAUGACAAAAAUGCCCCUAGUCUACAUCCGCUUGAUAUACGUAUAUCUACGCAAGAGGCAGAUGUAGACGAGGGGUAUUUUGAUCAAGCGGCUGAAAAUUCGGCCCGAAUCUGCAAAAUUGAAAAAUGUGGCCUAUUUUUGCAAAAACACAAAAUUAGUGAAUUUUUUAUGCAAAUUGGCUUAGAUUUAUGUUUUGUCAAUUUAAAAUGGCUAUUAUUGUCAGGCUGUUUGGUUCCUUAAAAAUUGUAUAGAAUAAAAAUUUUUCGAAAAAAUUUUUUUAUGAUUUUUUUUUUCCAUAAACUAGCUAUUUUGGAUAAAUUUUUUUUUCAAAUUUCAUAAAAAAUUAGUGUAUUCAUUUUACUCUCUUGGAAAAGUAAAAAUGCAUGUUAUUAUUCUGUAACAUAAUUUUUGACAUGCACCUAAAAUCUGUCUAAGGUUGUAAUUGAUUGAUGCCUACUUUUUUGGCCCUGUUAAUUUUCCACCAAGUAAAAAAAAAAAAAGAAAAAGAAAAAAAAGGAAAAUCAACAAAUUAUUUUCAUGCUUUUAUUAGAAUACUACAAGCAGAAUAUUUUUCUUACCUAUUUCAACUAGUACUUUGUACAUGUGCUAUUCAAUUAUUAUGCAUGUGAAUAGGUACGUAAAAUAUAAGUUGCACGAGAAUACUAUUAAUAAUUUUUGUACUUUUUUAUUAUUGAUUUUUUAGCCGUUAAGAGUUGAGCUGAAAUACUAUUAUUAGUAUGGGUUAAUUUCAUAUAGGUCACUAUAAAUAUAGUGAAUUGUAAACAUAUCUCUACAAAGUUCAACUUCCAUAUGUUGUUUUUAUAAAAAUCUUGAUGUUUUUAAAUAUAUUCUUGCCGUCAGGAUCCGUUAAAAAAAAUUAGUUAACUAUAGAUAAAAUACUUAACCCUAGUUAGUUAAUGAGGUGAAUUGAUCUUUUUACCCAUCUUUAAUUAAUAGUUUGGACUUUUGAAGAAAUAUAUUUGUGAUGCCAAAAAGUCAUUUCACUUAUAAAAUAAACAGUAUUUUAACGGUAACAAAUCAGAGGGACAUAUUUGAAAAUAUUGGGACUCUUAUAGGAACAACAUAUGAAAAUUGAACUUUGCAGGAAUAUAAUUGCAAUUCACUAUAUUUAUAAGGACCUACAUGAAAUCAACCCUAACAGUAUUUGUACUUUUUUGCUAUAAUUUUUUAGCCAUUAAAAGUUGAGCUGAAAUACUAUUAAUAGUAUUUGGAUUCUUUUACUAUCGAUUUUUUAGCCAUUAGAUGUACACUUUGAUCAAUUUCGUCCUUUAGAUUAUACUAUUCAACAAACAAUAUUUUAUUAUUGAUUUUCGUAUCUAUAAAUUUUAUUAUCUGUGCUAGGCUCGACUAUAAAAUAUUGCACAAUUUAAAAAAUGCAUCUGACCGAUCUAUCUCUUUUCACAGAAUCAAAAGCUCCAAAUUCAAAUUUCUAAUUUUGAGGCUUUUUUUUUUCUAUAGCAGAAGAGGUAUUACUUUUUUUCUUUUGUUUAUCAAACAUAUUUAUUAAAUCGACUAUUGCUGAAAGCAGAAGCAGGCUCAAAAAGCUCCUAAGCCAAUAAAGUAUACUUUUUCUAAACCCAGACUAUAAUAUUGCUAAAAAGUAGGAACUGAUCUUUUCUUGUGCACAAUCAAAAGCAGUAAAUUAGAGUUCCAUAAAAAAUUACUAACUAAUUUUUUUCUGUGCAAAAUGAGAAGCAAUAAAUUAGACUCUCUGCUUUUAAGGCUCAAAAGUUAAUUUGUAAUUUUCACUACGACAAAGAUUUUACUUUUUUUACUAUAUUAAAUAUUUAAGUAAAUUAUUCUAUUGCUGAAAACAGAAGCAGAUCUAACAAGCCCUUAACCCAACAAAUGCGCUUUUACCAAACCUUGAUUGUCUUAUAUUAGAAAAACCAUUGACUAAUCUUUUUUCUAUGCAAAAUGAGAAGCAAUAAAUCAGACUUUCAGCUUUUAAGGCUCAAAAGUUGAUUUGUAAUUUUUCACUAUGACAAAAUUUUAAUUUAAUUUUUCUCUAUCAAAUAUUUAAUUAAAUGGGAAAAAUAUUUUUUUUACGUUUCAACGUAUUUCAAAUAUAUUCCUAGAGUUAAAUUCUGUUAAUGAACUAUUAGCAAUAGCUGUUAUCUGUAUAAAAUUACCGUUUUACCCUUUCAAAUAUACCCUUCCACCAUCACCGACUUUUCUUAUUUACCCUGAAGUUAGGAACACAAAAAGUAUUUUGAUUUUUGGUCUUUUCAAAUAUACCCCUCUACCAUCACCAACAUUUCUUAUUUGCCCUUAAGUUAAGGACCAAAGAGGCAUUUUGAUUUUUUUUUUUUUAACUCUAGUAGAUAUUUAACUCAUGUUAAAUCCAAGUUAACUUAACGGAUGAUAACUGCAGGGGUAUUUCGGAAUAACGGAGGAACAUAUCAGGAAUAUAUUAGAAAGAAAAAAAAAAGUAAGGAUAAAUGAGAUAUUUUCGAAAUUUUAAGGGGUAUAUAGGUAAUUAUCCCUUUAAUUAAAUUACACAGUAGCUGAAAGCAUAAAUGAAGUCAAACAGGUCCAAUUUCUAGGCCAGUAAAAUACACUUAUUACACCAACCCUGGUUGUACAGCUUCUCCCAACCACACUUGUAGCUAAUCAAAACAUGUUAGCUUUAAAAGUACCCUAAGGUUUCAGGUGGGAGAGAAAGCUCCAAACUUUUAUCACCAUAAUAAUAAUAAUAAUAGCUUCCUCAGAACCCUAUUCAUGGAGAGAGAGACAGAGAGAGAGAGAGAGAGAGAGGAGAGGUCAAAACACAUGUGUCUACAUAAAAGGGGGAGCUUUCUGAGUGUUUAGGUAGAGAAAGAGGGGGGUUAGGGUUAGGGUUUGUGGGGUUUCUUUGAAUUUUUUUGUUAAAUUUUUUUCCUUUGUUGGAUCAAUUGCGGUUUGACCAAGCUCAUCCACUUCAACACCCUCCUCUUCUUCCUUUCCAUAUAUAUAUAUUAAAGAAAAAAAAUAGAGCUCUAGGAAAAAGGAGCUCCUUGGUUUUCUUUGAGGUAUGGUCUCUAAUUUUCCCUCCUAUUCUUCUUGCUUGGAUCUCAAAGAUGGUAUUUUUGGGGCUUUUUUUUGUUUUUUUUUUUUUGGGGGGUUGGGUAUUGUGAUUUCCCCCCACCCCCCUGUUUUUGUGUUUGGAUUUGAUUUUUACUGUUUUGGCCAAGUGGAUUUUGCUUAAAACUUGAAAAAGGUGGGAUUUUUGGGUUUUUUUGGGUGAUGGGUUAUUGUGAUUUUCCCCCCUUUUUUUGGUGUUUGGUUUUGAUUCUUACUGUGUUUGGGCAACUGGGUUUUACUUAAAACUUGAAAAGGUGAGAAUUUUUAUCUGUUUUCAUGGGGUUUUUUUUUUAAGGCUUUGAUUCAUGUGAUUUUGUUUUUGUUUUCUUCAAAAUUUGAAAUUUAGCAGUGAGACUGGGAUUUGAUCUUCUUUUGUGAUUUAUUUUGUUUAAAUAAUACUACAUGUUCUCCAUGUCUAUGUCCAAUAAUUAAUUUUGUGCUUCUCCCCAUCAUGAUCAUAAUCAUGUGUGUACUGUACUAUAGUUCAUAUUUUACUUCAGAACCAAAAUUUUCACAUAAUUUCUUGUUUUUUCUUUUUUGUUUUAUUUUCCCUUGUACAGGCACUGUUACAAUUCAUUUUGGUGAAAACCCAUUUAGGAGUUGUUCUUAGAUUCAGGAAUUUUAGAUCUUAAAUUUAGAAAAGAAAAAAAAAAAAAGGUUAAACAUGUUGAGACAAAUUUCUAGUAGAAACCACAGAUCCAAGGGAUUCAAAUUGAAAAAUGCCCUUCAAAUUUGCCUCUUAGUAGUUGUCACCAUUUGGUUGUUGUUCCAAGUUAAGCAUUCGUAUGAUAAGAAGUCCGAGUACGAAGACCGAAACGCGCAUUUGUCGAUCAAACACGAGCGCAACGGUGAUCGGCACGAGGCGUUCGAAAUCGGCCGAAAAGGUCUUCCCCAUGAUGUCCGAAUCGAGGACGAGGUGAGCGAAGAUGACCUCGAGCAAGAGUUGCUCAAACACGACGAGAAUGGCGAGAGCGAUGCGAUCGACGAGCAGGAUCAGGGGAAGGACGACGACGGCGGCGACGAGCAGAGCGUGUUCGAGGAUGCGGAGAGCAACAAGGAGGGGGCGAAUGCGGCCCGAGAGGAGAGCUUUCGAGGGGACGACGUCGCGAGCGCGGUGGUGGUCAGCCACACUGGUCGGCCGGAGGAGCGCGGAGACCACUCUCGCGAGGCGAGGGAGAAGAGCUUUAACGGCGAUAACGUUUCUAGUGCCGUAGCUCACGAGGAUCAUUUGGAGAGCGCGGAGAGCAAAGUCGGGGGCGGUGAAAAUUUGACAUUCGUCGAUUCGACUAGCGACGGGGGUUCAAAGGAUCGCGAAGUGACGCCGAAUAAUGAAGUUUCGUCAAAUUCGACGGUUGAUGAACCGAACAACGACACAAAACCGAGGGUUGAUCCGACUACUACGAAUGUCAACGGCAACCGAACGGAAACGCCGUUUAGUUCAUCAAACAAAACAGCUGGUCAAGAAGCAAUAGAGAGUCCGACGAAUGCGACAACCGUGUCGAGCAACCAGAUUGAGCUUUCGACUAACCUGAAUGAGACGACAAACUCGGGUUCGGGUUCGGCUCGCGACGGAAACGGCACGGUGAUUCAAAUCCCUGGAGACGACAAGCUCAAUACCGGCGCUACUACAUCAUCGGCUUCAAGCGAGAAAGGAGAAGGGAAAGUGGAGUUCCAGGAUGCGACGCGGAAUAUGGCCGAGGAAGAAAUGAGAGAAGUUCCGAUCGCGAAAAUUGAAAAACUCGCAAAAAGUGGUGAAGAGGCUGUGUUGGAGUGAAUCUGAGAGAGUGUUUAACUCAAAAACUCUUUAAGGAUCUUGGUUUUUCUAGUCUCUUUCUUUUUUUUUAGUUUUUUUUUUUUUCUUUUUUCUUUUUUGGUCUCAGUUUAAGCAUCACAUACAUACUUUAAUAUGAGAAAGAUGUAACAGAACAACACAUCAUGAGUUUUCAGGAUCUAAAUGGUAGGGAGAUGUGUUGAAUGAGAUACUAAUCUCUGCAGAAGUGUUGUAUAAUGGAAACUUCAAAAACUGCAGCUUUUCAUAUACCAAUUGUAUUUCUUUAGUAUCUUUUACACAGAUGUAUUUGUGUUAUAACUGUGUCAGAUCUCUAAUAUAAGUUGGCAUCUGAAAACAUAUAAUUAGUUAGUAGGCAUGAGAUUCAGAGUGUCUGCUUCAACAUCCUUCUUGUGGUGUGGUGAUCUGAUCGCAUUCCCAUCCCAUUUGCGUUUAAUCGAUCGAUUUCGAUCGGUGUUUGUUGUUCCAAAGUAAACAGUUCGAAGCAGAUUACUAAAUGAAGAGGAAUGCCUCUUCGUCGUCCAGCAUCUGAAACAACUUCUCUGAUAUGCAGCCGAGCUUUCUGGCAUGGUGGUGCUUUUGCUGCUCGGUUCCAUAAAAGAAUAAGAAGGCCGGUAGUGCUUUUCGAAUUGCUUCUACUCAAGUAGUAUUUUACGGAAUUCUCUAGCACAGCUUUUCAGCUACGAGAAGCAGUAGCCAAGAAUUUAGCAAACAAAAAAAAAUUCAGGGUUUUAAUUCUGCCUAGAAGCUAAAAUUUGAGUUUCGAGCUCUUACAGAUACUUUUGCUUCUGCCAUAAUUGAUAGUGCUUUUUCGAAUAGCUGACUCGUAAAUUAUAUUUUGGUGCAAGUCUCAACCAAUCAAAAGUUUUACGAUAAGAUAUGUGAAAAGGGUCAUUAAGAAAAAUAAGAUUUUCUCAGUCAAAGGUUGUGCUAUCUUAAAUAAAGAAAUGAGAUUUGUGUAGAAAUUUGCAAAAUAAAUAAAUAUUUGAUUUAAUUUUCUACGAUUUUUUUUUGACCAUUGGAAACUUCUAGAAUUUGCCUUGAAAAUAUUGCAAGUGUUGGACUUUGGUGUUUCCACUGGAAAUUUUUUAUUGGAGUUUUUUUUUUCAAAAAAUAAAAAUAAAAAUUGGAUGGGUGCUUUUGGAGUGACCAUUGAUUACUAUUUGAAUUUCCGGAGCUAAACUGCACUUUUGAUCCCCAACUUUUUUUUUUUUUCUUUUCUUUUUCCGCGGGUUCCUUAAAACUUUUAGCCUCCGUUUGGUUGGGAGUUAAGGGGUGGAACAACCCCUUAACUCCCAUUUUAUUCCCAAACAUUUCUAAAAAUAAAUGAGGUUAGCUAACCUCACCUCAAAUGGGUUAUUCCGGAUUAGCUAACCCCACCUAACCCCACUAAACCCCAACCAAAUACUAUUUUUUAUUCAUAAUAAUUCACUAUUCUUCUUAUUCCACCUACUCCAACCAAACACUAUUUUUCACUAUCCUGGCUUAACUCUAACCUCCAACCAAACACAAAAAUACUUUAACCCCACCUUAACUCUAAACUUAAUCCUAUUCCUGGAAUAACUGAUUUUUUUUUAAUCCCGAACCAGACGGUAGCUUAGAAUUAAUUACAGUAUUGGUUCCUAACCUCUUCUCCUGUAUGCGCACGCCAGUUAUGUCAAGUUCAUUCUCACCAUCCUCAGUGUCAAAGUACGAUGCCUACAAAACCAUCUUGACUCGCACACGCCGUCUACUAACUCUUUUGAAGUAUCUGACAUCAUCAUCAUCGAGUCAGACAUGUAACCAAACUCUUUAAGAAAUUUAAAAAAAUUAGUACUGAGAUGGAUCAGGAUCUGCCAAAUUAUAACUGUGAUCUACAUGAUUAAACGGGGCUUAAUCGGAGUUGACGUGGUCAAUGUUUGUCAAAAUUAAUAAAAAUAUUGGUGAAACAAAAUAUAAAAGUUAGAUCCCUAAUAGUUUUUUUUAAAAAAUUAGAGCCAAAGUGAAAAAAAAAAAAAGGGUAAAAGUUCACAACCACAUAGGUUAGAGCCUUUUGGUAUUGUUAUUAAUUUUUUUUUCCACAUAGAACAUUGAUUUCUUUGAUUAAUUGUGUUAAAAAAUUUUAAUGGAUUUCAUAGCUCAGUUAGCUUUUAGCAAUUAAUUGAACUAGUUUUAUUGCUAUAAUAAUGUAGUUUAAACUAUAAAAUUUGAUGGAGUUAUCAAUUCAUUUUAUAAAAUUUUUCAAUUUAUUUUGCUAAAAUUACUCGAUUUCAAAAAUUCAAAAUUGAGGAGCUCUCAAUCGAAAAAGUUGUAGUUCAGGGGCGUUAGUUUUAGAAUCGCGAAUAGUUGGGGGGGUCACCAUACAUUUUUACCUCUUCUUACCUCUUCCAUUCCGAUUAGGGGUGUCAACGAGCCGAACACGAACUAGCUGGGGCCGGCUCGUGUUACACGAGCUAGCUCGUUAAAAUAUUGAGUCGAAAAAUUCGGCUCGUGUUCGGCUUGUUUAUUAACGAGCUGAACAUGAGCCGAAUACGAGCUCGCUUAUGAAUAAAAAUUUAAAAAAAUUAAAAAAUAUAUAUAUAGGAAAUAAAUUUAUAAGAUCUUAUCCGUUAUAUUUUGAUCUAAUGAUCAAAAUUUUACAUAUAAAUAAAUCAUUUUAUAAUUGAGUUGGACCUUAUAUGAUAGUGCGGCUAAAAAUCGAUUAAUAAAAAUUUUAUAUUAUAUACAUAUAUAAUAUUAAUUAUUAUAUAAUAAAUAUAUGUAUUCGAGCUGUUAUCAAGCCGAACACAGAGGAGCUGCCGUUAGCUCGUGUUCGCGCUCGUUUAUUAACGAGGCCUGAAAUAUCAGCUCAUACUUAGCUCGUUUAUUAAACGAGCGAUUCGAUCUCGAGCUUACUUCGAGCCGAACACGAGCUGACUCGCGAACGACGAGCUGGAUUGCCACCCCUAAUUCCGAUGUAGUGAUGCAAAUGGAUUCGGAUUUGUGGAGAUCCCGCCCCGAUCCGCCCCUUAGUAGGGUGGUAAGUGGGAAUAAAAAAUAACAAAAAAAAAAGAAUCCAUUUUGAAUCCGCUUCUGCCUCGUCCCGCUUCGAAUGAAAUGGCAAGUCAAAGCAAAAAAUAGGAUAAAUUUCAACCCGCUUCGAAUUUGUCCCGACCCGCUCCGUUUGCAUCCCUAUUUGGAAAGCGAGAUCACAUUUUAGGACAGAAAGGGUUGAUCACAUCACAAACUCUCUAAUCCAUUUAUACUCCAUUUUCUAUUUAUUAUAUAUUUAGUUUUAACAAGGAAACAUUAUUGUAAAAUAAAUACUUAAGUACGGUAUUCAAAUCGAUAAUCGAUACCGUUAAACUUGAACUUUUAAGUUCCAAAUUUUAUAAUGUUUUUUACUUCACUUGCUUGCGAUUAUAGUGGUAUGAAAAUCAGACUAUUUUUAAUGACUAAUAUAAGAUAAAUUUGAGACUAAACAUCACGAAAUUUAAGCUUUAUAAAGUUCGAAUAGUUUAGAUCAUGUUGUGAUUCAGAUAACCCUUCGCCAGAAGGGUUCAAAAGUAUUCUAACUUUACUCAUAAACUGACGCUUAUUUAUCGGAAAAUAAAAAGGGUGUCAAUCGAAGAGACCUCUUAUACUUUUAUAUUUGUUUUCAAAUGAUUAAAAAAGAUUUAAAAAUCAUAAAAAGUUUCUUAGAUAGGCUUAAUCCCAAAUGCUCACUACUCCUGAGCCAAACAAAAAGAAAUAAUCCCUGAUAUAAAAGUUCAUGAAUGUUGAACACAUUAUUGCUACAAUAAUGAGUAAAUAUUUCGCGGGUUAGCGAGGCGCUAACCCUACGCAAGAAACCGUAAAAUACGAAAUCGUUGAUUCCACCUCUGUUUAGUUCUCGCAGAAGUUCAGAAACCCCAUGUAUUCGCGAUGUUCGAUCAUCGAUAUCGUCUUCGCGGUUCCCACGACACCUAAACAUAGUUAAAAUUAGAAUUUCAGAUAUAUCGAAUACUGCUAUUGAAUGUUUGUUAUUUGCGGGUUUUCGAUCUACCCAUUGUUAGUGCACUCGCGAAGAUGACGGAGGAGAGAAUGAAUACGAUGAUCGAUGCCCGCUUGAGGAACUUCACUAGCUUCCUGACGAAGUACUGGCCCCAGAAGCCGGCCAUAACCGAGACUGAGAUGAGAUAUAAAGCUGCAGGAAAAAGAGAGCGUCAAGUUAGAUUGUCAGUCCUACUACCGAGUGAAAAGUUGAAAGCAAAUUUAAAAAAUAUUAAUCUAUAUAUAUAUAUAUAGAGAGAGAGAGAGAGAGAGAGAGAGAGAGAGCUAGGCUGGUAUACAAUUGGUAGCACGAAGGCCUCCGUGCUACCAAGUUGUUUUUAAUGAUGUGGCUUCCAAAUCGACGAUCGGCUCCGUUAGACUUGAUCUACACUAUUCAAAGUAUUUGGAAACUAAAUUUCAUAAUUUUUCGACAUCAUUUGGCUAGUGAUCAAAAGGUCUCAAAAUUGAUAAUUUUAAUGGUCGAUGUGAUGCGUUUGUGAAUUUAACGGCGUAAAACAAUCCAAAUCCGAUAAAAUUUUUAUAGAAAAUUCGUUUUACUAUUUAGAGUAAGAUCAGUACCUCUGAUCUUAAAUUCAAGUCUUUUAUCAUCAUUUUUUAUAAGAUUUUUAUUUUCAACCGUUCAUUUUUAGACCAUUUGUUUGAUAGAUAAAUGAUACCGAAAAAUUAUGAAUUUUAGUUUUCAAAUACUUUCAAUAGUGUAGAUCAAGUCUAACAGAGCCGAUCGUCGAUUUGGAAGCCACAUCAUUUGGAAAACAAAUCUUGAUAGCCACAAAUGCCCUCUAUGCUGUCGAUAGUUACCAGCCUAGUCUCCUCUCUCUCUCUCUCUCUCUCUCUCUCUCUUCUCUCUCUCUCUCUCUCUCUCUCUCUAUAUAUAUAUUAUAUAUAUAUAUAUAUAUAUAUAUAUAUAUAUAUAUCUGAACUAUAUUCGAGUCGAACACAGUGUGAGCUAACCCAAGCUCGUGUUCGACUCGUUAAGAUUUCAAACUCAAAACUCCAGCCAACGUUCGGCUCAUUGAGUGAACGAGGGAUCAAUCUCGAGCUCAUUUCGAGCCGAACACGAACUGGCCUCCGAAUGCCAGCCCUAUGUGGAAGGGGAGUACCAUAAGGGAUGGGGAAUCUCUUGAGGAAGUAGAACUCCACCACUGAGAGGGAUGAGGAGAACAUCAUCACAAAUGUUGCUGUGGCACUUGCAACCUAGCACCCAAAAAAAAAAAAAGUACAAAUUUAUAAUGAUGGAUUUUGUACAAAUUUCUGUUAGUUUGACACUCUUAUUCUGUCAAAUAUUUAUUUUUAAUAAUAUUAAUUUUAACACUGUAACCCCCUGUUGCAUAUUUCUAAUCUAUCUAGGAGAGCUAAGUGCAUAUAUUCGUUUUUUAUUUUAGGGGUUAAGUGCGACAAGUGAUAUAUUGAGUGAGGUAAUUCAUAUUUUUAGCCCCAAAAAAAUGAUUAAGAAUUCGAAUAUAAUGAAAUAUGAAAUCAUAUAUAACUAGAACAAUUAAGGUUCCCAGUUGGACGGCUGAAGCUCUUGCAAAAGUGUGGUCUGAGUAAUGUUAUUAAAAGAAGCACUGACAUAGUCUUUAUCAAAUUUGUCCUAAUUGGCGAUACUCAGAAUCUUAGUUAAAACCUUAAGAGACUCUAACAAGAUACAUGACUGGUUAGAAUGAUUAGCGUUUGUUUGGCAGAGCUAGACGACUAAACUUUCUGCAGAAAUAUUGUCCGAGCUUUUUCAAAAAUCGCUAACAACUUUUUCAGCAACAACAAUCCAAGGAACAUAUCUGGUUCUAACUGGGGGAGAUUCAGAGUAAUAACUUGUGAGCAUCUCAACUGGUGAUCAGUGAUCACAUGAAUGGGGCCCCAUUAAGAGAGAUCACUCUCUUGUGAUUUUCUUUGUGGAAAAUUGGAAAUAAAAGCCCUUAGUCUCAACAUGUGGUUAAAAUAGGAAGGUACCUACCCUAGUAAGUCUCCACCAGUUAAUGUGUCAUGAGAAAGAACAGGGCCACUUUUUUUUAGCAUCUUGAACACAUCCAAAAUACCAAAAACCAAACCACCACUAACAUGCAAAAAUAGAACUGAUGACCCCUUUGCAUACAUCAGCAAUCUAUUCAUCAUUAUGAUAAUGUUAUGUAAGUUAAUUAUCAAAUAUUUUAGGGGUCCUCAAACUUCAGUUUGUUGCAAUUUAUUGUUCAAACUUUCUAAACUGUUGCAAUCAAGUCUGCAAUUCAUUUCGUUGAUAUGUCAUUAAUGUGAAAGUAAUAUAGUAGCGUUGUGAUUGAUGAUGUGGUAAUAAUUAAGAUAUCACAUCACUUUCACAUCAGCGAUACAUCGAUCUUUAUUUAACUAAUCUGAUUGUAAUAAUUUAGAAACUUUGAACUAAAAAUUAUAAUGAAUUACAGUUUACAGAUCAGAAUGUUACAUGCCUAGUAGUUGGAGAAUCAAAAGUAUAAAUUACCCCUACAUUUUAGAGCCUAUGUUAUUUAAAAACAAAAAGAAAGGUAGUGGAUGCCAAUAUCUACUGUAAAAAGUACAGUAGUACAUUGAAUUUUAGGGCCCAUAUGUGAAAAUAGGCACAAGGAGGGAUCAAAGAAGAAUCAAAAUGUGGGUACACUUAUGAAAAAGAUUGAAAGAGACUUUUAAGUCCAUUAGUUCAAUUAAUUUAGGAUUUGCUGUAGGACAAGAAUUUUACUGUACUAUCGAAGAGAUAAAAGGUGAUUUGACAUUGUAAUCAGUGAGUUUUGAUUUGAAUUUUUCACUUCUUUUCUUCAUUUUCAACAUUUAUCCAUCACUUUGUGACGGUCACUAACUUUACACGCAAUGUAAUUCAUGAGCGUUAUUCAAGUGUUUAAGCGAAAAGUACAGAAAGGAAUAAGUACUAAUCCAUAGUACGUACCUGAGGGAUCACGCCGAUCUCGAGGAGGAGAGGGCCGAGAAUGAAGCCGCCGCCGGAGCCGAGGAGGCCGCCAACGGUGCCACCUAGGAGGCCGCAGAGGGCGCAGAAGAGCAGCUGCGGCGCAGUCCAGUCGAUGGAAGCCUCGCAAACACGCUCCAUGUUUCCGCACGUGCGUCGUGCCCGGCUCUCCCGCCACAGCUUCACCGCUUCCCACGCGAACACACUCGCCGCGAUCGGAAUCUACGAAGCGCUCAUUUUUCAAUAGAUGCGAGAAUUUUCUUCAAUGUACGCCGAUCAUUUUAUGUCAAUGUAAUCUAUAGAUAAAGAGAAAUUAAAAUUUAUCGGUGUUCUGAAAAUUUUGGUUUCUAACACGCAGAUUGUGGAUUCGAAUGUCUCAAUACCAAUUUUCUGAUUAAUAAAAUAUUUAAGCCAUAUCAAAUCAACUGUAUCCUAAUCUAUCUGUGCCAUGCAAUGCCAAAAUUGCCCAUGUGAGAGUUAGGCAUGCUCAUGUUACAUAAACAAACAUAAAAAGGAAAAGAGAAAGAUGAGCACCUGCAAGAUAUUUAUUGCCCAGUAGAAGAUGCUACAUGUUUCUGACCCAUUCUGCAACCCCAUUGAACCAAUUUUAGCAUCUUACACCAUCAUAAGAACCAAUAAAUGCCAAACACUAGAGACAGAAACAACUAGAUAUGUAGAGAGAGAGAGAGAGAGAGAGAGAGAGAGGUUACUAAUCACAUGCCUUUAGGAUUUGGAGUACAAGAAAGGAAGACCAAACCAGCAUAAGGAUAAGGAUUCCCUUCCACCUUAUGUUGAACAAAAGUGCUUCCUUGGGAAAUAAAAAAAACAACAUCACAAUGAUGAUCACAACACAAAAUGAUGAAGCAGGUUUAAGCUUUUGAAGAACAACGAUUAUCUUACACAAUUUAACAUGAUAUCAGAACAAGUCUCGAGUUUGAGCUCGGCCCUUAUUAAGUCAAUGUCUUGAACAAGAUUUUAUGUGCCCGUUGGCACGGGCCAUAUCCACCGUGCUAAUAAUAUACCGGCACAAUACAGAUCCCGUGCCGAUGGCACAACUCAAAACCCUCUAUUCUUUAAAUUAAUAAGUAAUUUUUUCAAUAAAGUUUAAAAAUGUGAUAAAAAGACAUAAUAAAUAAUUAAAAUAUUUUGUUACUAAAGAAAAUAAAUAUUUCAUGCUAUUAUGUAUCGGCACACAAGAAUUUUUUUUGAUUGGCACUGCUCGGCAUGGUGCCGUACCAUACCGGCAAGUUUCCGGCACGAUCUCGUGCCACGGCACUUAAAUCCUUGGUCUUGAACUUUUUGAGAAGUUUUGAAUAUAAAUAUUAGAAAUAUCAUUCUCUGAAAGCUUGAUCUUUCGAAGAAUAACAAUUAUUUCAUAUACUUCAAUAAUAGUAACGCUAUUUGUAGGAUACUCUUAUGUACUUACAAGUUUGGAUUUCUCCUCUGUCUGAGGAAGAAGAGGCUCAUAUUCUGAAUCAAUAAUAACUGGAUCACAAACAAAAGAAUAUUUAAUGGGUACCAAAUAAAGCAACAAAUGAGAAAGAACAUACACUACAAAAUGUUAUUCUGUUUUUUUUUUUUUCCAUUUACCAUCAUUAUUGCGGGAAUUUGUUUGCGCUUCUCGCUUUUCUGUCUCCAUCUGCAUUUCGUAUGUGCGCGAUUUAAAAUUAGUGAAGCCGCAAAUCACUUGUCUUUAAUACCAAUAUCUCUUUCUAAUAUGCAUUUGCAGAAUAAUUAGUGCCUGUUGGGGUCAGAUUUUUGGAAUAGCUUCUCUACAAGUGCAGUAGAAUUCAAACUUUUCGAAAUCUAAUGAUUUUGAAAUGAUUGAAAAGACAAAAGAAAAAAAACAGAAAGGACUUCUAGAUCACAACAACAAAGGCUCUAGGUUUGCGUUUCUGCUUAUUAUUUUAUAAAGAAAAAGCAAUUUGAGCCUUUUCAAAUAGCUCCUUGAACAGCAUUUUUUAAGAAGCUCCAGCGUAAUCGAAUAAACUCUUGAUCCUUAGUAGUUCAUGAAACAAUUGAUAUCAAAGUAAAAGGAAAUUACGAAAAAGAAGAACUUUAAAAAAGAGAGUUUACGACACCGGAAAAGGAAGUUUUAAACAACCUUGAGUAUGGUUUCUUGCUUCCACAUCUGGAUUCCCCUGAAGAAGGACCGAGACGAAGUACCUGUCCAUAAUUCGUAACAGAAUCACUAAAACCAAUCUAACAAAAUGGUACGCAUGUCGUAAAAGGGCAAAAUGUAGAAUUUGUAAGUCGAUCCUGGCGUCUUUUUAUUUAAACACUUUACUUCAUAAACGUUUACGCAUGUUACAAGUUCACUUCGUUGGAACGAUCAUUUGACACCUUCUCCUGCAAAAUAAUCCUUGGGCCAGAAAAAUCACUUUAUAGGAAAGUUAGUUCUUUUAAUUAGUUGUCGCAUAUGGAGCUACGACGUAUGAGAAAGAUCAGAAAGUAAAGUGUUUAAGUAAAAAGUGUAGGAGUUCAGUCGCAGUGUCGAACUAACACAGUAACUAUUCAAAACUUGUGGUCGGAAUUGAUCAGGAAGUAAAGUGUUAAAGUUAAAAGUACGUGAGUUCAGUCGCAGUAUGGAACUAAUACAGUAACUAUUCAAAACUUAUGGUUGAAAAAGGAUCAAGAAAUAAAGUAAGUGUAUAAGUAAAAAAGUACAAAAGUUCAAUCGUAGUGUCGAAUUAACAAAGCAACUAUUCAAAUCUAGUAGUUUACAAAGAUCGGGAAGUAAAGUGUUUAAGUAAAAAAUUACAUUAGUUCAGUCGCAGCGUCGAACUAAUAGAGUAACUAUUCAAAACUUAUGGUUGAAAAAGAUCAGGAAGUAAAGUGUUAAAGUUAAUAAGUACAUGAGCUCAGUCACAGUAUCGAACUAAUACAGUAACUAUUCAAAACUUAUGGUUGAAAAAAGAUCAAGAAGUAGAGUGUUUAAGUAAGAAGUACAAAAGUUCAGUCGCAGUGUCGAACUAAUACAGUAACUAUUCAAAACUUACGGUUGAAAAAAGAUCAGGAAAUAGAGUGUUUGAGUUAAAAGUACAUGAGCUCAAUCGCAGUGUCCAACUAAUACAGCAACUAUUCAAAACUUAUGGUCAAAAAAAGGUCAAGAAGUAGAGUGUUUAAGUAAAAAGUACAAAAGUUCAAUCGCAGUGUCGAACUAAUACAGUAACUAUUCAAAACUCAUGGUUGAGAAAGAUCACGAAGUAAAGUGUUUAAGUGAAACGUACAGGAGUUCAAUCGCAAUGUCGAACUAACUACUACAGCAACUGAUCAAAACUUUGUGAUUUAAUUACCUAAGAAGAGGAUAAUGAUGAGGACAGUGAUCAACCAGAAAGGGAAAACAACACUGAGCUCAACACCAAUGGUGAUGCCCAGCAUGAGCAUGGGCUGAAACAGCAGUGCCAGAUUGUAGUCUAUGAUGGGCACCUCCUUUGUUGGGUGAGACACCUGCAGAUUGUACCACACCGACGACGUCGAAGCGCCCAUAAUCAUACCUUAAAAAAAAUAGUUAAGAUCAAUCACAUUCGUCAAUCCAUCGAUCUAAAAUAGUUAAGAUUAAUCACAUUCGUCAAUCCAUCGAUCUCUUCUGUGAUCCUUAUGAGUAUGUAAGUGAUGAUAUCAAUUCCAAUACAGAGCUAUUAAAGCCUAGUUCGGUAAUACGGUCACGGAAAGUACCAUUUAAAAGCGCUCUCAAUCUUCUUUUUUUUUUAUGCUAUAAAAAUUACUGUCACAGACGCAGCAGUCGCCAUUGGUUGCUACUGCAACAAAAAAUUUACUAAUUUAAUUUACCAAGUUAUCAUGGUAUCAGUACAAAAGAUCCUGAGGUCACAUCAAUUCUUUUGAGUACUAAAAUUUAAUUUGUAUUUUAUAAAUCCUAGGGGAGGGAUUAUAGUUCAAAUUUAAAAAGUCAAGGCUAAAUUAAACUUUUAGUCCUCAAACUAUGAAUAAUCGUAUGUUUUGAUACUCAAACUUUAAUUUGUCGUAGUUCUCACUCGAACUUUUUAAAUUAUCAUAAUUAAAUUUCUUUUAUGCUAUAAAAAUUACUGUCGCAAAAGCUGCAGUCCGUUGGUUGCUACUUGCUACUGCAAUUUUAUUGUAUAAACAAAAAUACCUGGACUAUGAAUACACGUGGAUUUUGUGAAAAGGCCCGAAAAUUACUAAUUUAAUUUACCAAGUUAUUAUGGUAUCAGUACAAAAGACCCUGAGGUCACAUCAAUUUUUUUUUAAAUUCUAAAAUUUAAUUUGUAUUUUAUAAAAUAUUAGGGGAGGGAUUAUAGUCCAAAUUUAAAACUUUUAGUCCUCAAACUUUAAUCUGUUCUUGUUCUGACUCGAAUUUUUUAAAUUAUCACAAUUAAAUUCUGCAGUACAAUUCAAAAUAUCUCGGUGGUGGGGACGGUAUCCUCAUCGCAUCAGCAAGGCAUCGUCAUCCAGUCACAACCAAUUAAAAAAUACCAAACUUUAAAUUAUCAAAAUUUAAAAGUUCGAGCCGAAAAUUAUAUAAUAAUAAUUUAGAGAAAAGUGAAGGGCUAAACAGCUAAAAAUCAAACCGUCCAAAAAAAGGUCGGUAAUUUCUCUCUCUCUCUCUCUCUCUCUCGCUUGCUCUUAACCCUAAUGCGCUUUACGACGUACUUAAUUAACCCUAAACGGAUCAAAAAAAUCCCAAAAAAUCAGGAAAAAAUAAGCAAAAAAAAAAAAAAAAAAAGGUUGUUGCUUACAUUUGGAGAGUGCGGCGGCGGAUUUGGUGUCGAAUCCGACGACGAGGUUGAGGAGGGGGACGAAGACGCCGCCGCCGCCGACGCCGCCGACGGUGCCGAACGCCGACCCCAGGAACCCCACCACCGUCGCCACCGCGCUCUGCCAAUUCGCCUCCAACCCCUGCAAACAAAACACGCAAAUACAACAAAUCAAAUCAAAUCAAAACCUGGGUGCACCACCCAAUUCCUCCAAUGGAGCCAUUGCUACAACUACUACUGCUUAAUUACCGGCCAAACACGGCGAGGAGAGGAGGUGGCGGAGAAGAAGAUACGGCGGCGGCGGUGGUGGGAUUGAUUUGCAUUGCCGGAGGAGGAGAAGAAGAAGAAGGCGGCCGCAGCGACGGCGACGGAGGAUGCGAAGAGAAUGUAUGCGACGAACCGCUUGGUUGUUGUCGUUGUUGUCGUCGUUGUUGCUGCAUUGUUGGUGUUGGUGGUGGUGGUUUCCAUGGUUUGUGUUUGUGUUGGGGGAGGAGGGAGGCUCUACUUGUUUGUGUAUGUGUAUAUAUAUAUAUUAUGUAUAUAUAUAUAUAUAUAUAUAUGGAAGAUGAUGAACAUAAAUUGGAAACGUUUUGGGGUACACGUACGUGCAGAGUUGGGCCGGAAUUUAAUAUUAAUAGCGUGGUAUUAUUUAUUUUAUUAAUAUUUUUAGGGUUAGGGUGUUACUGAAGAGAGCGAAGUGGUUGAACUAUCCUUUUAAUUUUUUUUAAAAUUUUUGGUUAAAUUAUAGAAAAUUCUCUUAUAAUAAUUCGCUUUUUCACUUUUCUCUCCUGACAUUUAAAAACUUACACUUUGCCCCCUUGUAAAAUAAAAAAUAUACACUUCACCCCCUACCGUUAGGGUUCCGUUAGGAUUCUAUUAUAAAAUAUUUUUUUAUGCCGAAAAUAUCCCUCCGCCCUCUUCUCUGUUGCUUCGCCUCUCUCCGGCUCGCCACCUCGCCGCCGCCUCGCCGUCCUCCACUGCCUCGCCCUCGCCCACAUUCCCUUCGCCGUCGUCCGCCGCCUUGCCUUCGCAUUCGCCUUCGUUGCUUUUGCCUACCUCUCCAUCAACACCCACCUCGGUUUCCUUCCUACUGUCGCCAAAAUCGAGGGGCGGCGAAGGUGCAGGAGGAAAAAGGGAGAAGGAAAUGGAGAGAAAUCGCGGCCGAUUGAGGUAGGAAUCGCGGCCGAUCGAAAGAGUAGCUGAGGAAGAUGAGGAAGAAGACGAAAAUGGCGAGGGGCAAAAUGGUCAUUUUACACACCGUAACCCCCCUAUGAAUAUUUUUUAUUUCACAAGAGGGCAAAGUGUAGGUUUCUAAAUGUCAGGGGGCAAAAGUGAAAAGGUGGGUUAUUACAGAGAGAUUUUCUAUAAUUUAGCCUAAAUUUUUUAAUAUAUUUUUAUUAUUUUAAAUGAUAUUUUUAAUAUAAAUUAUAAAAAAUAAACAGGAUAGCGACGGAACGUUGAAGAACGCGAGAAUAAGUAAUGAACUUAAAAUUUUAAGCGGACAAAAUAUAAAUUUUUAAAAAUUAGAGGAAAAAUAAACUUGUUUUUUUUAUUUUAGUAUCUGUAAGUUUUAAUUACAUCACUCAAAUUAAAGGACCUUGCGUUUCUAUUCUUAUUCUCUAUUAUACCCUUUAUUAAUUUUUUCUUUAAAACAGUCAUGUGCUAGCUGCACAAAUAUUGUUAAUUGUCGCGUUUUCGCCGUUAAGCAUCUAGCAAGAACGAUCAGAAUUAUGCCGCAAGGAAUUUCAUGCUAUUUUUAUCGACUCUUUUGGGACAUCUCUAGCGCAUAUGCGCGGCACAUGGCGAAUUUAACUAUAAACAAAAAUAAAAAUUACAAAAUAUUUAAAUGAUACAAUUAAAAUCAAUAUGAUAGUGUAAUAAAAGAAUCGUAAACCACAUAACUAUCCCAAGUGUUUUCUAAAUUAAUUUAUUUGGUCAUAUCUUUCCAUAUAUGAAUACACUGAAUAAAAUACUUUGCUCACUUACUAGUUUACAAAAAAAAAAAAAAAAAUUACUGAAACAAAUAUGGCAGUUUCUUAUUAGUUCUCUUUGCCUAGAAUAAUAAUUACCAUUCAACUAAUACAUUGAAUUAUUUUUCUCAAUACAUUAACUUUUAAUUGGAGUUAUUUAUGGAAUUUUUUUGCAUGGGGGAGAGAGAGAGAAUGUGUUACCAUAUAAUGCGCAACAUUCCAGAAGUAUAUGAGGAUUAAAUAAGUAAAGAAAGGGUCAGCGUAAGAAGGUAGUUUCCAUAUGAGAUAAGGGCAUUAGAAAUUAUUAGGAUAUAUGAGAGGAUGGAUAAACAGAGACAAACAUGUGGUGCCUCAUUUAUUUGGCUUCACAUUACUAUAUAUAUAUAUAUAUAUAUAUAUAUAUAUAUAGAAUUAGGCUGGAAUACUAUUAAUAGUAAAACGUUUUUUUUGCUAUCAAGUUUUUAAUACUUGGAUGAAAAAUUAUAGGGUCAGGAUGAUAUUAGUCGGUUAGAGUUGAGUGGUCCCCCUAGGGUUGAGUGGUCCUCACUGGGUUAUAGUAUUUAAUCCAAUGGUUAGAAAUAAUGAAAAGAGUUGAUCCAAAGGCUAAAAAAUUGGUAGCAACAAUGAAAUUUUGCUCCUAAUAGUAGCCCAGUCCAACUCUCUCUCUCUCUCUCUCUCUCUCUCUCUCUCUCUCUCUCUCUCUUUAUAUAUAUAUAUAUAUAGAGUUGAGCUAGAAUACUAUCGAUAGCAAACGGGCUCCGUUGCCACCCAUUUGUUUUCGAUGAUAGAGUCUCCAAAUCGACGAUCGGUACUGUUGAACAUAAUCUAUACCACUUGAAGUAUUUCGAAAUUAAAUUUCAAAUUUUUUUACAUCAUUUGCCUAAUGAUCAAAGAGUUUCAAAAUUUGUAAUUUUAAUGGUCGAUAUGAGGCGUUUCUUGUUUAACGGCGUAAAGAUAUCCAAAUCAAUUGAGCUUUUGUUAGAAAAUUUUUUAAACUAUUUAAAACAAGAUCUAUACUCUUGAUCUUGAUUACAAGACUCCUAUCAUCAUUUUUUAAAGAAUAUUCAUUUUCAGCCGUUUAUUUUUGUGUCCACUCAAUGGAUAAGAGAACAAUAUCGAAAAUAUAUAAAAAUUGAUUUCUAAAUACUUCAAGUGGUAUAGAUCAUAUUCAACGGUGCCGAUCGUUGAUUUGGAGGCUCCAUUAUCGAAAACAAAUAGGUGGCAACGGAGCCCAUUUGCUAUCGAUAGCAUUCUAGCUCAACUCUCUCUCUCUCUCUCACUCUCUCUCUCUCUCUCUCUCUCUCUAUAUAUAUAUAUAUAUAGAGAGAGAGAGAGAGAGAGAGAGUUGAGCUGGAUACUAUUAGUAGCAAACAAGUUUUAUUACUAUUUAUUUAUUUUUGAUAACCGAGUCUUCAAAUCAACGAUCGGCACUGUUGAACAUGAUCUAUACUAUUUGAAGCAUCUGAAAAUUAAUUUUUAUAUUUUUUCCAAGGAUUUGUCCAACUGUUUUUUAAAAUUAAUCCUUAUUCAGCAGCUUGUUUAUAUUUAACAAUCACAUAAAGAAAUAAACAAUAGAAAAAAAAAAUAUCUAUUCUUAAAAAAAAAUUAGUUAGAUGUUCAAUAAAUGGUAUUACCCAGCAUACAAUUUCAUGAUUUAAAUUUAAAACAUAUUCAAAAUCUAAUUAACAAUUAUGUUAGAACUAAAUUAAAUUUGUUUUAAUUAUUUUAAUUAUUUGCAAAAUAGUGGAGAUAUUAUUAGAGGUAGGGAGAAAGCACAAACACUCAUCACUGAUUCAGGGAGAAUUACUUAUCCAAAUUUUUGUCUUCUUUCUAAUAAAAAAAUAUUUAUAUGUACAAGCCAAAGAGUACUUGCUUUUUUACAUCUAGAACCAAAAGCCACCUCAACUUCGCAUUGUUAUUCAAUAAUACUUUAUUGUACCUUUUUGGCCCAUAUAUGUGAAAAUUUGAUUAUAAAAUCUUGCUUAAAGAGAUCAUUAACACAUUAUCCAUAUUAUUAAAUAUAGAAAUAUAAAAAUAUUACAUUCUACAAGCUUUAGUUUUUACAAUACCAAGAUUGUUUCGCAUUUUUUAAUAUGGUAUCGAAACAAUAAGUCUUCAGUUCAAAUCCUGUCAAACUCCUAACGUUAUUUAAUUUUCUCUUAUUUAAUUUAACACAUGUCUUGAGUUUAUUAAAAAUGAGUGGGAGUGUUGAAUAUAAAAUAUAUAAAUAUUGUUCUCUGAUAAUUUAAGUUUGUAAAAAAUAGCGGUUGUUUCAUAUAAACAUAUAUAUUAUAUGAAAAUAUUUUAUUAGUUUUGUGGAUUCACUUCAAAAAUGCAAAGUGUGUUUCCAUGUAACAAUAUGAAUGAAUCAAUCCUAUUUCCUUUGCAUAUAUCUUUUCACUUUCUACAAUAUAAAAUCUUUUUUUUUUUUCAAACAUACUACUCAACUAUUUUUUUAAUUCCUACACUGUAAAUAAUAAAUCUAUAAUUUUUUUAUAUAAAAACUAUUAAUAAAUUACUCGUUAAAAGUGGCGAAACAUAUAUUAAACUCAUUUUGCCAUAAAAAUAAUAAAAAUAAUUUAAAAUAACUUAAUAGAAACUUUUCAUUCCUACAGUAUAAGCAAUAAAUUUAUAAUUUUAUAUAAAAAUUAUUAAAAAAUUAGUGGUUAAAAGUGACAAAGCAUAUAUUAAACCCAUUUUGGCACAAAAAUAACAAAAAUAAAUAAAAACAACUUAAUAUAAAAUUUUAAUAAAUUUAUCAUGGAGGUUUGUUUUAUACAUUUUCUACUAUCUAAUCAAUGUCUCUUAACAAAAUUGGUAAAUUUCAUCUAUAAUAAUAGAUUUGUUAAUAAUAACAUAGAGAUUGGCAAGAUCAAAAAAUAAAUAGUUUAGUGAUAUUUAUGAAAAUAAAUUAGUAUAAGUAGCAAAAUAAAAAUAAAUUUAAAAUAUAAAACUUUAUAAAAUAUAAAAAUAUAAUAGUGUUAUUUUUUUAAAAAAAAAUAUAAUACAUUAAAUAAAAAUAAUACUAAAGUACAGUGCAGUAGAGGGUAAUUAAGCUCAUAUGAUAUGAAAUGAUGGAGAGUUAAUGGAGGGUAAUAUGGUAAUUCUCUAUUGAAAUGGUGUAAAGAAAAGAUCAUGCAUGUAUCUAUCUUUGUGAAAUAAUUGUGAUUUAAAAAAUAGAAUUUAUCCAUUCAAGGGACCCAAAACUUUCCCCUUUUGUUUUUAUGUGUGAUUGGGAUCUCAACUUAAUAUUUUUUAUUCAAUAAUUUUCAUUGUACCACUUUUGACCCACACAUGUUUUUAGUAUGAUUAGGAUCUCAACCUUUUUUUUUAAAAUUUUUUUGGUUCAAUAAUUUUCACUGUAGCUCUUUGGCCUAUAUCUAGAUAGGAACAACACUACAUGUCUCCUAAAAUACCAAUGUUAUAAAUUAUUGAUGUGUUAUUUUAUAUUUGAUUUAAAGAUAUAUGAUUAUUUCAAAUAUUUCACAUCUCUCUUUCUAUCUGUCCAUCUCUUUGGACACUUCCAACAUGCUAGUUUUUUUAAUUAAAAUCACAUACGCAGUCAUCGUACCCUGACCUUAUUAGGGAUGCAAAUGGAUUCCGACUGGUGGAGCUCCCACUCUCAUCCGUCUUGAAUGAGACGGUAAGUAAAAACAAAAAAAAUAUAAAAAAAUAUAAUCUGUCUCGAAACAGUCCCGAUCUGCGAAGAAAAUAAAUGAAAUGAGAGGCGGGAACCACCCGCCACCAGAAAUCUGCUCUUAGCUCAAUCUGCUUCGAAUAGAGCGAUAAGUGGGAGCCAAAAAAAUAGGAUGCAAAUUAAUCCAUCCCAAGCCUAUGAAAACCCGAUAAGUUACCAAAUAAAUGGGAGGUGGGAAACCUCUCUCGCCUCUGGAUUCGCCCAUUUGUAGCUCUAGACCUUAUGAGCCGCGAUUCAAGUAACAAAUAGUGAGCUAAGCAGCUAUUAUCUUAUGUGUAUUUAUCAAUACAUCAAUAAUAUAUAAAACCAACAUAUCAGCAUCUCUAAAGACAGAAAGUUAGAGUUUAAGCGCUAAUCGAUACGGACCGUGCCUACCGUGUCGUAUUGUACUAAUAAGAUACUGAUACAAUACAACCCUUUGUACCAAUGGCACAGCUCAAAACUCUAUUUGUUUUGAAAUUAGUCAAUAAUAAACUCAAUAAAGUGCUAAAGAUUUGAUCGUGAAAUCACCACAUAAAUAUUUUUUUUGACCGGCACGCAUCGGCACAGCAUACACUGUGUCGUACAGUACAAGUAAGUUUUCGCCACGAUUUCAUGUCAAGAUACUUAAAUUCUUGGCAACAAAUAUUUUUCCAUAUUGUUUUUAAUCUAUGAUUAGGAUCUUACAACCCAAUGACAAAAUCUUCCUUAAUUGUUUUGUAUUGUGAGUUUGCUAUCAUCAAAUCUCUAUCAAGAGAUAAUAUUUUGUGUCUCAUUAAUGUAUGUUUGAGGCUAUGUCUAUUUAUAUUAUUAUCAAGGUUAAUUUCAGGUACAUUGGGUCCCUCCACACUGUCCCUUUUAUAGGUACAUAAAUGGCCAAAAAAGAAUAUGGUUUAGAGAUAGGUACCCAAAAAAUAAAAAACAAAAAAGUACAUUUUAUCACUAUUUCACCUAAAAUUGUGAGAAUAUUUUAAAAAAAGUUUAGAAAGUGGAGAACCAAAUAUUCUUAAUUAUGGAUUGAAAAAGAAAUAUACCUACUUGCUUGCUCAAAAUUUCAAUUAAAAAAAGCCUAUAUGAAUUGAAAAAGAAAAAAUAGAGAUAAUAUCUGGUAUAUCUUUUAAAAUUUUAAAAAUAUCUAAUAUAUUUCUGAUUGAUUAAAAUAUUUUUAUUGAUUUUCAAAAAUUUCUUCAAAUAUCCUGAUACCCCCUAUGAUUUUCUAAUUGGAUUUGGGGUUUAAAAAAAAUAUUUUGAUAAUUUCUGAAUAAUUUUGAAAAUUUUGAUCAGUAGUCAAGGAAUAAAUAAGAAAAAGCACCAAGAAAAUAUACCAACAGGCUUGUUAAAAGUGAAAUAAAAAAAAAAAAAAGAAGCUCUAUGAAGAAGGUUCAUUACAUGUAUCAGUAUAUUUAUAAAAAUAUAUACAAUUUAUCUGAAGUAUGAACCAUUUUGAAUUGAUUACCUUACUUUUUAAAAUUUUGAUUUUAAUUUAAUUUUAAUACUCAAUAUUCCAAAUUGUUUACUCUGAAUUGGUCGACAAUACUUUGGCUUCAAAAUUUAAAUUAAUUUCAUACUUUAUUGAAUUUAUAGUUACAAGAAUUGUAUAAAAUAUAUUAACUGAAUCUAUAAAAAUAAAUAAUACAUUCAAAUUUAAAGUCAAAGUUUGACCGACUCAAAUCAAACAAAAUGAAAAGUUGAAUAGUAAAAUUUUGAUAGAUUGAACAGUAAAUUUAAAAUAGUGUAUAGUUCGGAUAAAUUUUAUAAAUUUAUAUUUAUUUAUUUAUUUUAAGGAAAUGAAGGUACACAUCAUUUAUAUUAAUAAAAAAGAAAAGAGUGGAUAAGAAUGAGAAGAACAAACAAAGAACCAGGGAUAAGGCAAAUAUCAAGAAGAGAACUACAACUUGUCAAAAAAAAAAAAAAAAAUUUAAAAAAGAAGGGCUGGGGACUAGAAUGAAAAAUCUGGAAGAUGUUGGAGACCAAUGGUGUAAUUUACUGGUUUAAAGAAACCAGCAUUUUGUCCUGUAUCGAAAGAUCAGAUUGGACCGAAUCAUGUUCAAAAUGACGAGAGGUCGAAUUAAGUCGAGUCAUGUUCAAAAUUACAUAAGGCUGAUCAUGUCGAGUCAAAAUCGAAACCCAUGAACUAGUUGCGUAUUUCUAACAUAUCUCUGAGCUUCUGGGAUAACUAGUUAGCGCCAACGAUCCGAUAGUUAACCUCUAUAAAGUUUACUCACGAGCCCAUAAAUUAUAAUCAUAAACAUUAUUUUGAUAAUUAAGUAUAAAAAAGCUAAAAUGCAGAAUUUUUUUUAUAUAAAUAUCUCUUUUUGCAAUUCUAUCCCCGAUUAUUUCAAAAGCUAAUAUUUUGCCACCUCAAAAUUUAAAAUUAUAGUGUGUUGUGAAAAAAUAUUAAUUAGUAAAUAGUAGAGAAUCUCUUUCAUAAAAUUAGUUAAUUCGAGGAAAAUAAAAGAUUCUAAUAUAUUUUCAUAACUUGUAAAAUACAAUAAAAAUAUUUUAGUAAGUUACUCGGCCGUGUUAAGUAUACGAUUUUAAAUUUUAAAGAAAAAAAUAAAAAUUUUAUCCCAACACAAAGAGUAAUGUGCAAAAGUGAAUAUUUAUUGGAUUUUUUUUUUUUUUACUAUUUUAGCCUGAAUAAAAUUCAUGUUCAACCUCACGUGGCUCAUUUUUUUUAUUAAUUUAAUAAUCGUGCUCAAUACAAUUCUCAUAAUAAACGACAAAAAGCAAUACCUAAAAAGUGUUCCAAUAAUAAAUUAUGUGGUAAAAAAUAGGCACAAGUAUUUUAUAUAUGCAAACCUAACGCAACAACAAUAAUUUAAAAUUAAUGUGGAUUGGAGUUUAAUUCCAAAAAGAAAAAGAGAGAGAGAGAGAGAGUAUAUACAACUCACAUGAGAAAUGUUUUUAUUAGCGAAGUUGAAUUUGACUAAAAUUUUGUUCACAAAUCAUGUCUAGUAACAGUAAUUAUAAGGCCAAAAUUCGCAUUUGGUUUUCAAAUUUCAAUUUAUUGUAAUUUCUAAUUCACAAUUUUCAGAAUUGCUAUAAUCAAGUUCUACAAUUCAAUUUAGUAAACUAAAUAUUAAUGAGCCGCUAAUAUGAAAGUGAUAUUCCAAUAUUGUGAUAGAUAAUGCGACAAUAAUUAACAUGUCACAUCACUGUUAAAGUAGAUUAUUGAACUUAAUUGGAACUUUAAGUUUGAGGACUAAUGUGUCACCGGUGUCAUAGUUUGAGGACCAAACAUGCAUUUUAGCCUAAGUAAUAAUCCUAAUUAUAAAUAUAACUCUUGGCUUAUUCAAGAGAUAAUAUUUCGUAGCAAUAUACAUAAUUUGAUUGGAGAAUGAGCACUUAACAACACUGCAGAGACCUGCUAUGCUCUCACUCUCCACAUUACCAAAAAUAAAAAAUAUGCUCAUAUUAACCUAACACAUACAUUUAUAAUCAUCAAUUUACGAAAAAAUCUUAAGUAGGAUAUUUACCGCACGCUGCUACGAAGUCGUCGGAUGGAGUAACCACUGAGGUAGCUUCGCGAAAAACUCUCUCCUCGUGUCCAACGGUUAAAUUCCGAAGCUCGAAACAUGUGAUGAACACCUCAAGUCAGGUAAUAUUUGCGCGCUUCCUUAGUUCUCACAAGAGAAAAUGGUCGAUCAUGUGAAAGAUCACAUCCGCGCCAUCGGAAUGCAAAAAGUACGUCUUUACCUGCACGGAAUAAAGAAACAAAAGUACAGAGAAAGUUAUUCUCGCGCUGCAGAUUCUGUCGCGGUAGAUGAUACCUCACGUGCACAACAACUACAAGAGGAAACUGGUACGAGUCGCUGCGAGAGAAACCUGAAUAGUGCUGUGAGCGAAAAUUCUUUGCUUGCUUUUCUUGAAGCUGACAUCGACUCUUUCCCACGGAACUCGGUUCAGACCUCUGAUCAUAGCCUCUACAGUUAAUGAUGAUUUUACAAAGAGAUAAUAGAAAGUCAGUUCUGUGAUUCUAGUUCGGAACUAAUUGUUCGGAAAUGUUCAAACCUUCCAUUUCCGCUGUAGUUCUUGCCUGAUAAAUCAUUGCGUCUGAAAAAUCAUCUGGCUGGUUAGUAGCAGGUUUCGGCUUCUCCACGUAGACGAUGUGCGGAUAUUUGCCAUCCUUUAUAAAAUUUUGGCGCUGCAUUAGAGAGAAAAACUUGAGAUGAGAUACACGCACCGCACUCGAACAAUGUUGAUAAUUCGGUGCUUUACCUUCGGAAGCUCGUUUUGCCGACGUAUCGAAGAUGUUUUCCGGCCAACAACGACUGAAUCCAGUUAAGCCCGACAAUUAAUCGAUUGUGAACGUAACAUGGAAUCUUUUUGAUGAUUGAAGUUUUUCAUAAUAUCAGAACAAAGGAUACAAUCACCACACACAUUUGAGUAAGCAACAUGGCGCUUGAAGGAUUGCAACGCGGACCUACAAAAGAAAGCAAAAUAAUAUAUGAUUUGACAUGAAUCAAGGUAAUGAGGAAGAGACAAACUAGCUUAUCUAAGAAGCCGUACAUGAAACGAAGAUCUCCAAAAUCAGUGACCAUUUGAAGAAGGAGAGGCGGCUUGCCAUCUUUUCCGUCCUUGAGAAAGAGAUGCUUCCCGCUCUUCCGAGCAAUCCAAGAUAGCCGGAAUGCCAUCUUUUCCAAUGUAUUGAUGCCACCAAGUAGCGGUAUCUGCAAGCAAAAUUUCACACUCAUAUUAAUAAGCAAUUACACUGCGGCGCGAGUCUUGAUAAUAGAAUACUUUCUUCAAACAGAACGAACAGGCAUAGAAUCAGAUCGAUUCCCAAAAUGCCUUUUUGGAUCUUCCUCAGUGUCCCAGCUAUUCACGGAACCCCACAAUAGUCAUGCUACUCAAUCUAUCAAUAGGAGAAUUUGUAAUAGUUAAUGUAGUUCUUUAAUAAAUAUUUUUUCGUUUUCUUCGAAUUUGUAAACAAUGUGCAUCUCAUAUGCCUUGGGCAGACGCUUUAUGCCCUCGUUGCACCUUGUGACUUGCUCGUUGCAUCAAGCCUCCACUCCAGAAGCCCUUUCACUAGAGCACCAUACACCAUUUAAAACUAUGAUCUCAACUGGCUUUGUUGCCAUUGGUCUUUGAAAGAAUCACCAUGCCGUGACAAAGUUAAUCUCAUGGGAAAGAUCGUAUGCAAUGUUAACAUAACCACAAAGAAACCACGACAUUCGGAUAUGUUGAGAGAAAUUCAUUGGACAUCAUGAAGGAGCAGCUUAAGCAAAGUACAAAAAGAACUUAUAUAAAUCAAAUUUACAAGGAUUCAUGCCGUGAAAGCCCAAUCUUAUUUAUGCACAGGGAAGAUGAUAUGAACAAGUUAACUAUAAAUAGUAAAACAAUAAGAAGUAUUCAUGUCACGCAAGAGAUUACCCUACUAAUAAACCAACCUAUAUGUGCAGCUAUCUCAUGGCGAGGAGGCAUUGAGAUUAAAAUUUUUUUAAUAGAAAGGUGUUUUCUUCAACAUUACCUGCUUGUGAGACCUCGUACCAAGGUGUGGUGUCGCAAAAGUGAUGAAGUUCAUGGGCUCCAAUCCAGCAAUGUUGCCUUUCAAGUUUUGAUUCACAGAUUGAGUUUGGGAUAUAUUAGUAUUAAGUUCCCCAUUAUCCUCAGAAGAUUCCUUCGAGAUGCCUUUCUCAUAAAGUAAUGCAAUGGUAUAUCUUGCAAUCAAGCCACCUAGUGAAUGUGCGACAAAGGAAAUUUUUUGAAGCCAAGGCCUUUUUGAGACAACAGAUAUUACCUGAAUAAACAAACUUAGUAAGUAGCAGAACCUAUAGAUUUAAUAUAGGUUGAUGAAUCUAUUUGCUACACUAAUGAUUUGCGUAAUCAAAUAAACAAAAUUAAAAUACCUUUUGAGUCAUUUGAAACACAACCCAAGAUGAGGGAUUAACAAUUGUAAGAUCACAGUUUUAUAUCGUUCCAAGUCGAAGCAGAAUUUUGAUUUAAUAAUUGUUAAAACCGAGCUGGACCACAUGACAAUAUGGACCAAAUCGGGUACAUCGAAAUAACCCUAGUUUGCUUUAGUUUACAAAUUAGUGUUGAACUUUCUUUUUCCUUUUCAUGUAGGCCUUCAACGUUUUUUUCCCUUUGUUUUUUUUUCACAAUUUCAUUGACAUUCAAGUCAAACACAGAAGACGGAAUCUCUUCCCAAUUUAUCUAAAAGAUGAUUAACUACAAGCAUUUCAGAAAUAAAACAUAGUGUGUUUCUUCCUUUUACCAUUUGGAAAAUAUCCUACAUCUCUUGAGAAAAUUAUCGUUAGAACAGGAUGGAGACUUUUCAUAAGAAUUCAUGUUUACAAUUAUAAUGCUCCAUUAAUGUGGAGCACACGUGUAGUGUUACUACAAAACCGACAUGUUAUAGUCUUGAACUGAACCGGAUUGGAAAAUGAACAUUUUGCUAUUUUAAAACCAAAAGUGAACAGAGAAAUAAUAAAAUCAAGGCAACUUGUGUUUAUUGGUUUGACAUGCUCUAUUUUCUGUUUUCAACCAAAUUUGAACAUUCUCAGAAAAAAGUUUAUCUACAGCUGCGAUUUCUCAAAAUAAAGUGUAAAUCAUAUUAGACUAAUAUAAUGUCAUUCUAUUAGCAAGUGGAAUACAGUGACGUCUACCUCCUCUGCUAAUCUUUCUCCCAUCAUAUCAACACCAUCAAGAGUCAGGGUUGCAGAAUUACAUUCACUGCCUGUAGAUCAAAAUAAAUAGCACGUGUUCAUUAUACAAAGGAAGGAAGAAAGUAGAUGCAGAAGGGAAGGCAUAGCAACAUCCAGAAACAUAUAGAAGGGAAACAUGUAAAGAAUCAAAGAUGGACUCACAUUGCGAGUUAAAGACAUUACGGUUAUCUAAUGAAUUCCCUUCUAGUAUUGCUGAUUUUCAAUUGCAAUAGCAAUCAAUGUAUAUACCUUCAGAAUCAAGAAUAAUUCAGCUGCUUAAUAAUUGUUUUGUGAUUAUUGUUAGUCCUACUACAUUUCUUACAUGUUAGGGAACAAGAUUUCAAAAGUUUCGACAUGCAACCCAAACAUCAUGAGCCUUAGGACUUGUUUAGAUGUCGAAAUAACUUAUAGUUGAUAACUCAUCCGUUGAGAACUUAUUUGGCAUGCAGCUUGUGUCGUGUAAUUGGAAGAUGGGAGUUUGAUUUUUGCUCUUGAAAGACCUUUGGCAUCCAUGAUUUAGUAGAACAACAUAUUUCACCUAUGAAGUGAUUUAUUUUAUUCCCGAAAAAAUAACUUGAAGGCUGAAUAUGUUACUCCCUUCCAGACAUUUUGACAACAUUCCUAGCUUUCAAUCACAAUAGAAAAUCCUCAUAUUGAAUAAGAUAUCACUGGAUAACUUAUUCCAACAUGCAAACAAUCCUUAGUAAUUUUGACUACAAUGGCAUCAAACUACUACAUUCAAAGAAAACUACUACUGCUAGACUCUCUUCCUGGAAUGUUUCUUCGUUUAAUAGGUCAUCAUACACAUUACUAGUACAGCUGAAUAAAUCCACAAGAAUGUCGAAUGAUGAAUGGCUAAGAGAAGAUAGAAAAGAGUAAUAAUGCAAACACCUUGAGUUUCUAAAUACAAAACGAGUGAGAGGCAAACAUUCAAUUACAUAGAUAACAGGAAACUAGGCUCUUUUAGCUCUUUUAAAUUUAGAGGAUCAGUUACUCAAUAUUUUCAUGAAGGAUAAUUAUAUGGAGAAGUAUGAAAGGUUUAGAACCUUACAAUGUACAAUAACAUCUUCGGGGUACUUCUUCACAAACUUUUUCGCAGCAAAUUUCCAAUCCGCAGCGCUGCAGGCAUACCAAGAAGAAUAUCAAAAAGAAGAACAUCAAAUUUAAUAGUGGAUAGGCAGGCUCAUGACACUAAUGAAGGCACACCAAUACCAAUACAGGCAAUCAGAAUUCAUAGACAACAGAACUAGUUUUACAUUCCACUUUUUCCUCAAAAAAAAAAAAGGAAAAGGAAAAAAGUUCAUCUUGUCACUGGAAUAGGCCAAUCGCUUAGGAAAAUUUCUAGCCAGACAAGUUUGACAGUUACAAUUACUUUUCCUAUUUCAGAAUAUCAUGUUCAAUAAUGUUAGAGUAAACUUUGGCAUCAAGUAUAGAUAACAAGUACCAAUCUUAGUUUCUAUUUUGGUGUGGCCUCGGAAACAGCUUCUCCAUUCAAGAAGCACAAGCGAGCAUUUAGCAAACAAAAAGUCCAGCAACUAGGUGCGGCAGAAAGGUAACUGAGCUUCCAGGAAGCUUUUACUUGUAGCUGGCACAAGAAAGAUGUUGGAAAGAUAUGGGAAAAGCAACAAGAGCUUAUUCAAAUAGCUACUCAAACAACACUUUUGCAGAAAUUUUCAAGCAGCCAAAUCUUUGAGAAGAAGCUAUGCAUUACUGCUGAUAUAAAAGAACAUAAAUAAGUACAAAUCCAAGAAGUUAAAUAGUAGAUUUUGGAGAACAUAAUGUUGCCCCUCCACAACAUAAUCUAGCAGAUUCCAUGGAAAGUACUUCCCUUUAGAGACAAAGUAAUGCAGUAACAACCUAAGAUAUUUACAAAAUUAUCCAUAGGAGCUCCCAAUUCUUCUAGUAUAACACAUGCUAAGAGAUCACUAUUGGAACUCACCACAUAUUCCUAAAUUCCUCAAACGGUUUCUAAUGUUUAUUAUAGUAUUCUAACUAAUUAAGUAUACUAUAUGUUCAAUUUGGAUAAAAAUCUCCUAAUGAUGAUCCACUUACACUCUUAUUACAACUAGGUAAAAAUGUACCGAUGCCCUUCAACUACAGGACAUUUUGAAAUAGUUCCCUCAGCUUUAUUUAUCCCGUUUUGAUAGCGCCCUUUCAAUCCUUUUUGUUAGUUGAAUCAAGUUAAUGGCUCAACUUGUUUUAGCCAUUAAUUACUAAAGAAAUCUGCAGUUUUUGCAGAAAAGGGAGUAAAUCGGUUAAAGUUAUUAGAACAGUUUGAAUUUAACAAAAUUUGCAAAUUAGCUAAGUAAAAUUGUUCAUCAAAGAAUCAAAAUUAAAGGGCACGUCAAUUGAAAAAGGAAAAAAAAUGAGGGGUCCAUUUAAAAUGGUCCUAAGGCGUCAUUUAGAUCCUUCAACUUUUUUCUUUUCCGAUUGCACCGCUUAAUCAUUAAUCAUUUAGACUUACGUUCUUUCCUAAGUUGAACUAGGGAUUGUUGCUCCAUUAGCAAAAUUAAAUGUUCGCAGUUCCAUCAGGGCGAAAAAGUGUUUAGAGCAGUUAAAUUUAUAUAAUCACAACUAAAUUUAUAACAAAAUCGUAAUUUGAUUCAUGAAAAUAACUUAAACCAGAAACAAUCCAAACUGGAGGGGCCCAAAUCAAAGGGAAUUAGUUGAGAGGUCCACAUUUUCACUACAACAUAUGAUUCACUAAACGAGAAAGAUGUAUAGCUCCUAAUUUCUUCAUAAAAGGAGGAAUCGAACCAGAAAAGGGAUGGAUCCAUCUCGAACCCCACCUUCCGACGAUCCCAUUCACCAUCACCACCAGAUGCGGCGGCGUCGGAAUCCUCCUCUCCCCCUCGCCUCCUCCUCCUCCGCCGCCUCCGCCGGAGACCGGCGAGCCGUCGACGACCUUGAAGCAACUCGGUCGCCGGAGAUACGCUCUGUAGGUCACCCCCUCCCACCCCCUCCUCUUCUUCUCCCCCUGCGCCAUUAGUGAACCCUAUAGGAGAAGCUCUAAGGAUCGGAAUCGUCUCCUUCAACCGAAUUAGGGUUAGGGUUAGGGUUGGGGUUAGGAUUUUAUAGUGGGGGUGGCGCCGUUUUCAGCUCUCUCGUCGCCGACAACUUCAAUUUUUUAUUUUAUUUUAUUUUAUUUUGCUCAGUUCGUAGGACUCCAACAGGACGAAGCCCUCGCUUCUAGAUGAUCUAUUACGUACACCUGGUGCACCACCUCAUCACGUACACCGCAACCUUUUACUCAUUGGACGGCGCUGAUUGGGUGGAUUAUCAGAGCGGUUCACAGAAUGAUGUGGCGCACCGUGAGCACGUAUUUUAGCUUCAUUAAUUUGAAUCUUUGUCGGGGGCCCACCACAAUUGUGAUGGGCCCCACAUGUCGUGAUUAACGCUACAGUGGAUGGAGCAUUUUAUCCGCCACGUGCAAUGGCUUCGAACAGCAACUUGAUCGAACGGCUGAAAUUAACGGGCUCCCAACGUGGCACGGAUCUAAAAGCGAUGUCGCAUAAAAUAUUCUGUGUUCGUCGGAAACGAAUCUUGACCGUUCACCGAAAGGCGAGCGUCCAGAUAUCGUUCCACGCAUAGAAGUUUUUUGUGGGGACGUCUCUGACGUCAUGCUGGGGCCCCUUAGGUGUGACGUGUGCGGGAACCGUUAGGUUCGACCGGAGAGUGGGGCCUACUUGUCGAUGACGUGGACAAAGUGGACCUUUGUCAUCUUUGUUCCGGCCUAGUCGGAGUCAAAGUCAAAGUGACGACUUAGACUACCGUUACUAUUGGUCCACGUGGCGUAUUAUCUAGAAGAAGGGCCAACCGAAUUGAAGUUAGGCUAACUAAUUACGACUUUUAAGUAAAUUUGUGGUGCUCAGGGGAGCCACGUAAGACAUAGACGUAUUAGUGGCGGAUAUUAUACGGGUAAUUACUGUUGGAUUAGUAUGCUGCUAUGUAGCUUAGGCCGAGUCACAUUCGAAAUGACGUGAGGUUGGAUAGGCCGAGUCAUAUUCGAAGUGGCGUGAGGCUGGAUGAGUCGAGUCAUAAUUGAGAUCCGUGGGCGCUGUAUCUAUACACUUAAUUAAGUGAAUUAGUUGCGUAUUUAACAGCUCGAGCUUUUGGUAUUAAUGGUUAGCGCAAACAAUCUGACAAUUACAACCUAAUAAAUCACCUAAGUUAACAAUUUGAUGAGUUCAAUCGAAAAGGUUUCACCUUUUGUUAAAAGAAGAAGAAGAAACUAAUCCAAAAAUUCGCGAAUUAUAAAUCCAACACAAAAAUUUACUUAUUAUUCCGAUUUUUUGUGAAUAAAUCGCAUACAGAUCGUUUUAUUCGGAUUUUCAAUAAUUCGCAAAUUAACUAAUUAUGGAUUCAAGCUGAAGCAAGAUAUUUGGAUUUUUUUUCGAAAAUUGUGCAUAUAUAAGGCAGAUUAAUUGGCCAACAACAUUUUAAAGAUAUUUUAAGUCUGAGAUCCAUCUAAAGAGGCUUAACCAGUCUACGUACAAAGAAAUCUGAAUCGUGCGACACCGAAGAAAGAAAAUGAAACCUUAGGCUCGGUCGGAUUUUCCUGUUGGUUCAUUUCAUUUCUCGAUAUCGGAUCAAACUCAUUAGCUUCAAGGAAGUCGACCCGGAUUUGCGAAAAUUUGAACCUUGUCGACUGUAUCGGCUCUCACUCAAUUUUUUCAUUGAUUGGUACGGCAUGCUCGACGUGCCGAGAUUUGGGCCUAUCCGUUUGAUGUCCAUCCUAAGCUCGUCCCAACCCGAGAGAUGAAUGAGCUGCGCUCGGUUUCAGCUCUAACGAGCGUGGCUUAACAAGUACGAAAGCCAUUGAACUCAUAAAAAUACAGUAGCUCUGCUAAUACACACACUAUUUGUAGGCCCAAAGCCCCACUUGCGAGCCUCGAAGUACGUGACGAUCUCGGCUUGGGCCUGUUGUGAGGCCCAGUCUUCCGGGCUGGGCUACACUCGGGCCUCGUACUUUCGAAACUGGACCACGUAUGUUUCCGUACGUAAUAUUGCGUUUCGCAUAUUGCUCGCAUAUAUUUCUCCGUUGUUUAAAAAUAAUCUCACUAUUAGGCCCCGUUUGGAUACCUCUAAAAACGUAGCAUAGUUAAACUAUGCUACGGUGGUAGGAAAAUAAUCCUAUGAAGCGUUUGGAAGAAAAAAAAAAUGACGUAAUUUUUGGAAUAUAGUUAUACUAUACUACAAAAAAUGUAGUAAACUUACAAUACCCUUUAACCAAAGGAAAAAAUUCUACCAUUUCGGGCUCCCAAAGAUGUAUCAAUUUUUAAAUUUUAAAUUUCAACAUAAAAUUUUAGAUUUCAAAUUUUAAAAUUUUAAAAUUCAAAUUUAAUUUUGAUUUUAAAUUUCAAAUUUUAAAUUUCAAAUUUCAAAUUUCAAAAACUUCAAAUUUUAAAUUUUAAAUUUCAAAUUUCAAAAACUUCAAAUUUCAAAUUUCAAAUUUCAAAUUUCAAAUUUCAAAUUUCAAAAGUUCAAAUUUCAAAUUUCAAAUUUCAAAUUUCAAAUUUCAAAUUUCAAAUUUCAAAUUUUAAAUUUCAACUUUCAAAUUUCAACUUUCAAACUUUAAAAUUUCAAAUUUCAAAAAAAGUUCAAAUUUCAAAUUCAAAUUUCAAAAAGUUCAAAUUUCAAAUUUCAAAUUUCAAAUUUUAAUUUAAUUUUAAUUUUUAAUUUUCAAUCUUCAAAAUUUAAAUUUAACUUAAAUUUAAAAUUUUAAUUAUUUAAAAUUAAAAAUUUAAAGUUUAAAUGGUAUACUUUAAGUUUUAAAUUUUAAAGUUUCAAAUUUCAAAUUUGAAAUUUUAAAUUCCAAAUUUUAAAUUCCAAAUUUCAAAUUCCAAAUUUAAAACAUAAAAUCUAAUUUACUUUUUAAAUUUUUAAUUUUAAAUUUUAAUUUUAAAUUUUGAAUUUUUAAUUUUAAUUUUUAAAAUUUUAUUUUUAAAUUUUGAAUUUUGAAUUUUGAGUUUUGAAUUUUGAAUUUUAAAAUUUUAAAAUUUUAAAAAUUUAAUUGUUAUAAAUACUGGAAAAUUGUAUGGUAUGUAUCCAAACAGCUUAAAAAUAAAGCUGUGGAAUUUUUUUGUAGUUACAGAAUUCUGUAUUUCAUUUAGACCAAAACCAUAGAAUAAAAUUCCAUGGAGUUUUUUAAUUAAUAAUCCAAACAGGGCCUUAGUGUCCAUUAAGUUAUUUCGGGUUAAAUCUAAGUUAAAUUGUACUAUAGUUAAAAAUAGUAAAAACAUUUAUUUUGUCCCUAACUUAAUAGCAAAUAAGAAAGUUGGUGGGGCAAAAAAUCAAAAUAUUUUUUUUCUCCUCAUUUAAAAGCAAAUAAAAAAAUGGUUGACGAUAGAAAAAUAUAUUUGAAAUGGUAAAAUAAUAAUUUUAUAAAAAUACUAAUGUUUUCUGAUAUAUAUUUAUUUUUAAUGUUAUUUUACGUACCGAUAAAGAUCUAUUAUUUGCUCCUUCCAUUGACACCAUAACUAUUCAAAACUACUUUUAAAAUUUUAAAAUAUAAAAUUUAAUUUUUAAAAUUAGAAGAGAAAAAUAAAUUCAUCAACCGAAAUUAAACUAAAAUGAGAGUUGGUUCCCGAACAGCGAGCCAAAAUAUCCUGUUCCAAAUAGAUUUUUUUUUGUGUGAGGCUACUAUGCUUCUGGAAACACGGAGCCUUUCGUGCUUCCAUAUCGUUUUUCAUGUUGCAACUUUCGAAUCGUCGAUCGGCUCCGUUAAACUUGAUCUAGAGUAUUUGAAGUAUGUAGAAAAUAAAUUUUAUGAUUUUUCGAUAUCAUUUGUCUAGUGAUCGAAGGGGCUCAAAAUUAGUAAUUUUAAUGACCGUAGUGAGCUGUUUGGAAGUUUAACGGUGUAGAAAUAUCCAAAUCACGUGAAAUUUUGAUAGAAAAUUCUUUAUACUAUAUAAAACAAGAUCUAUAUCUUUGAUCUAAAAUUUUAAUAUCAUAUUAUCAUGUUUUGUAAAAUUUUUAUUUUCAGCCAUUAAUUUUGUGCCUCUUUGUUCACUAAGCAAAUAAUAUCGAAAAAUCGCAUAAUUUAUUUUCUAGGUACUUCAAAUACUCUAGAUCAAAUUUAACAGAGCCGAUAGACGAUUUAAAAGUCGCAACAUAAAAUACGACCUAGAAGCACGGAAUGCUCCGUGCUUCCAGAAGCAUAGUAGCUUACUUUCUUAUUUUUCUUUUUUUUUUUUUUUUUUUUUUUUUUUUUUUUUUUGCUUCCUCUCGAAGCAGAGCAUCAUUACAUUCUUAGCUUUCCCCGGGUUGGUGAGGAGACAUUCUCCAGAGGGGCUUUUUUUGCAAAUAGCCCCCUGAGCAAUUUUUAUUUUAAAAAUAGCCCUAUCAAAAUUAAAAUUGCAAAAAUGGCCCUAUCCCUGCCACGCAGGUGCCACGUCAGCGCCACGUGGGCAGGGCUGGGGCCAGGGUAUUAAGUUGAACACGGUGAAUCAUUCACCGUGUCUAAACACGGUGAAUGGUUCACCGUGUUUCUUACGUAUUUUUUGUAUAUUGAAAAGUGGAAUAAGGAGUAGGGAUGUCAAGAGGUAUGGAUACCCGAAAUAUUAUCCGAAUCCAAACCCGAAUAAAUUAUAUAUAUAUAUAAUUUAUUUUUAUUUAUUUAUAUAAUAUAUAAAAUAUUUAAUAAUUUUAUUUCUUAAAUCUUCAUCCAACCCAGCGGGUUUUAAAAAUCUAUACCGUUGGAUGAAGAUCUAAGGAAUAAAAAUUAUUAAAUAUUUUAUAUAUUGUAUAAAUAAAUAAAAAUAAAUUAUGUAUAUAUAUAUAAUUUAUUCGGAUUUGAAUUCGGAUAAUAUUUCGGAUAUCCAUAUCUAUUUACAUCCCUACUCCCUAUUCCACUUUUAAAUACGUAAGAAAAAAUACGUACUAAACACGGUGAACCACUCACCGUGUUUGAACACGGUGAAUGGUUCACCGUGUUCAACUUAACACACGGGCCCAACCCCUGUCCGCGUGGCGCUGACGUGGCGCCUGCGUGGCAGGCCCAGGGCCAUUUUUGCAAAUUAAAUUUUGACAGGGCUAUUUUUAAAAUAAAAAUUUGUCAGGGGUCUAAAUGCAAAAAAAGCCCUCUCCAGAGUGUUGGACACGUGGCGGGCAAUGAUUGGCGACAAUUUCCAUUUUAAAAACUGUGGCGGUUGUACUAGUUCGCUACAACGACCGCCGCACGGAAAUUGUUUUGGAGACAUCGACUGCGCACCGAAGCGGCCGAGGAGAAUAACUCAACUCUCCCUACCGCUUACUCCUCAAGACGAAAUUAAGUUCGCAGAGCGGCAGAAGUCGGCGCCGAGAUCUGCAUGAGGCGGCUGUUGUCGGCGCUGUGUCUGAGGCGGACGCCGACUUCUUCUUCUCCGCGACAUCAUCGCCCCGUAACCCAUCUCUCCCCCUCUCCCCAUUUCCCCCCUUCGCUUCGCAUUCGAAACCCUCAAUUAUUAAUCAUCAUCAUCAUCAUUAUUAUUAUUAUUAAUUUUUUCUAUAUAUAUUUUUGGGAUUUUAGGAGAAGGGCGAAGCCGCAGCGAACGACGGUCGUGGCGGUGGUGGUGGUGGUGGUGGUGGUGGUGGUGGUACUACUACGAACCAAGGCGAGGUAUAUACAUAUAUAUAUAUAUUGCCUGCUUUAAUAUUCGUGCUCUCCUGCGCAUUCGGGUGGGGAGUUUUUUUUCCCCCCCCCUUAAAUUAGUUUCUAAGAUCAGAUCUCGGUAUACGCCUUUGGAGAGAUCUUGUUGGCGAGUUGUUUGUUGUUUUGCCUCAACGGAUUACUCCCAUUUCAUGUCGUGCCUAAAAACACCGUUCUCGAACAUCUUAAGCCAUUUAAUAUUUAUAUAUAAAGAAAAAACUUCAAAUACCAACCCUGUGGUUUCGCACUUUCUGACUCUAGUACUACUAUGUGGUUUAAAGUGUAUUACUUUCGUACCCUGUGGUUUUAUAUUUCUCUUUUUGUUAUCCUCUUUAUUAAUUUUUUUUUGUUAAAUCAGUGAUGAAAUUAAAACUAAAGGGUACUAAAGUGAAUAUUCGAUAAACUAUAGAUAGGGUAUCUGAAGUUUUUUUAUAUGAUUUAACGAAAAGUUAACAGAGGUACUGACGAAAAGAAAAAAAUGAAAUCACAGGAUACUAAAUUCAUACACUGCAAACCACAGGAUACAAAGAAAGUGCGAAACCACAUGCGUGGUAUUUGAAGUUUAUCCAUCGUUUCAUAUAAUCUAAAAUAGUAAACUUGUCAAAAUAUCUCGAGCCUGGACGUCAAGGGGAGUGUUGAAUAUGCAGGAUUAAAAUACAGUUCUCUGACAGCUUACGGUUGUUUCACAUAAUUUAACCUGGUAUCAGAGCAGAGCAGAAACUACUGGGUUUAAUUUAAGUCCUCGUCCUGAACCUAUCGAAAUAUCUCGAGCCCAGAUGCGAGGGUGGGGAUGUCGAAUGUAUAAAAUCGGUCUCUAACUCCUUAAAGCUAUUGGAAAUAAACGGUUGUUUCACAUUUCGAUCAGAAGGAAACCAUUUGAUGAUCGAUACGUAAUCCUCCUUACUUGAUAAUUCACGACGAUUUAUAACAUUUUGUUGUCUCUAAACUUUGCGAUAUGUAAAUUCGAAAAAUUUCGAUCUCCCUCUUUUUUCUCAACAGAGAACUGAGAUGCAUGUCGGAUCUCGCGAUGUUGCUACGGAAAACAUCAUCGCCAAUCACGACUUUUCAGAAGGUUUGCGUUCGUGGCGUCCUAAUCACUGCCACGCGUAUGUUGCUUCCGACGAAUCUAAUUACGUUCCCGGAGUAAGGCCGAAUUCGGGGGCGAAGUAUGCCGUAGUCACGAACCGAACGCAAAGCUGGCAAGGUUUGGAGCAAGACGUCACAGAUGAGAUUACUUCUAAUACUAAAUAUACCGUCUCGGCCUAUGUUAGAGUUCGUGGGGACGUUCAUGAGCCGAUUGGGGUUCAAGCGACGCUGAAACUAGAGAACCAUGACAAUUCGAUUAGCUACGUAGGUAUUGGAAGGUAAUGCGGUUCGAAUGACGUUUUCAGCUUUCUAUUUUCUUUCUUUGAUCGGAAUGCUGCAAACUCCCUAUACUGUUAUUUUUAAAUGCUUUGUGUUUUAAGAGCUUAUCGACAAAAUUAGCUGAUUUAGGGUUGUGCCCUUGAAAGAACACUGGGAGAAGUUGGAAGGAUCCUUUUCAUUGAAGAGCUUGCCAAAACGUGUAAUUUUCUAUCUUGAAGGGCCCCCUCCGGGGAUAGACUUGCUGAUUGAUUCCGUCGUCAUCUCUUAUGAGGUAAUUUCUUAGCUAUCGCCUUCUCAUUCGCAUGUUUCGAGUGAGAAUAGAUAAGGAAUAAAUGUCUACUAGAUGUAUUUGCAACACAUUAGCAUGGUCUCUUUACAUGAAAAGGCUGGGUUGUUUUCUCUGAGUAUGACAUUUUCAAAUUGGAUAAACCUUGCGCUGCCUUUUGGGUAGCUUUAAAGCAAGGAUUUGAGUGUUCAUAGGUCGUGCCCACCGUGCUGUACCGUGUUGAUAAGAUAUCAGCAUGAUAUGGCCCCUAUGCUGACGUCACGGUUCAAACAUUCUUUUCUUUGAAGUUAGUAGAUAGUUACCUUGGUAAAGAGCUAAAAAUUUGAUGAAACUAUAUGAUAGAGCAUAUUGGUGCAAAGAAAAUUAAUAUUUCAUGCUACGCGCACUGGUGUGGCACAACACACCCCGUGCAGUACCAUGCCAGCAAGUUUUUGGCAUGGUCUCGUGCGACAAUACCUAAAUCCUUACUUUAAUGGAACUUCUUGGUCAAUCUUGUCUAUCAUAAGCUCUAUUUUAUGGCACCACAUGUUUAUGUCCAACAAAACAACUUUGUGUUUUGUAAACUAUCAUUUCUCUUGUUUGUGUUGUUACCUUUGUGCUAUUGAUUUUACAUCUAUUCAAUUUUUUUGGUCUAUUUUAUCUCAACCACAGAUUACUCACACAAAUAACAUCAUUACAAACCAUGACUUCUCUCGAGGGCUAAAUCCGUGGAAGCCCAAUUCUUGUCAUGCCUAUGUGGCUUCGGAGUGGUCCGGUUUCCUUACCAGUGUUAAAGGAAAAUCAGGAGAGAAUUAUGCUGUUGUCACCAAACGCACCCAAAAAUGGCAAGGCCUUGAACAGGACAUUACGGGAAAAGUUUCUGUUAACACUACUUAUACUGUUUCUGCCAAUGUUAGAGUUUACGGGGAGAUUCAGGGACAGUUUGAAGUACAAGCUACCUUGAAACUAGAGAACCACGAUUCUUCUAUAAGCUACUUACCUGUUGGGAGGUACUACCUUUGAAAUUGUAUCGAUAUUGGGCGAUACCAAUGUUUAGUUAUUAAUCAGAAUCUGCUAUUGUAGGACCCAAGGUUCUAAAGAUCAAUGGAAGAAGUUGCAUAGCUCCUUUACUUUGACGAACAUGCCCAAAAGAGUUGUGUUUUACUUGGAAGGGCCUCCUCCCGGCGUGGAUCUUCUUAUAGAUUCAGUCAUAAUCUCUUGCUCCGAUUUUAAGCAACAGAAAGUAAGCGCUCUAACGCUGUUCUGUUUUAGGACCUUUCUCGAUGCCUUUUUCUUCGGUUGAGAUUGUUACUAAUAUUGUAAUACAACACUUUUGUACUUCUUUUGCUUGAAAGGAAGUGAAUGCAGCACCUCUUUCCAUCAGAAGUGAAAAUAUCAUCCAGAACCCUCAAUUUGAAUACGGUUUAGAUAAGUGGUCUGGAAGAGGAUGCAAGAUUCUUAGACACGAAGUUGUUGGAUAUGGUAACGUGACUCCUUUUACUGGGCAAUGUUUUGCUUCCGUAACUGAACGAAGCCAGAUUUGGAACGGCGUUCAGCAGGAAAUCACCGGCAGGUUGCAAAGAAAACUUGCGUAUGAGGUUACUGCGGUUGUUCGGAUAUGUGGAAGUGCUUCGGCUGAAGUGCGGGUCACUUUGUGCGUUCAAGAACGAAAUGGUCAUGAUCGCUAUAUAGGAAUUGCCAAGUAUGUUUAAUUUGUUCGUUUUUUUUUUCUUAUUAUUAGCUGUUAUUUAACUCCUGUUGCUAAUUAUUUUUCAGUGUGUUAAUAUAAUGAUGCUAGUCGAUCUCUGUUUGGCCUACCUUCUAGAAUGGUUUCUUUGCUUCCCAAAACCCGAUGCUUGUGAAAAACCAUGAAUAAAUAAAUUAACCGGAAGUUUUGCCACGGUGAAAAGCUAAAAGAUGAGCUUUUGGGCCUGCAAAAGCAAAAGCGACAUGUUGUAGAGGAGAUUUUUAUAGAAAAAUGUUAAUAGUGGUUCUUCAAACAGCUCUACUCGAAGUCUCAAAAUCCACAUCUUUAGAAGCUCCACUCGGAUUCAAUUGUUUUAUAGAUAGUCUUCGUGACCACAUUUUUCUUUUUUUUUUUUUUACUUUAAAGAGCACAGGCAUCGGACAAGGAAUGGGUGCAUUUACAAGGAAAAUUUCUCCUUCAUGGCACUGUUUCGAAAGCUGUCAUUUUUCUGGAAGGGCCUCCCCCAGGAAUUGACAUUCUUAUCGAUAGUUUAGUGUUGAAACGUGCAACAAAAAUUCCCCGGCCUCCUCUAUUGAACUUUGAGGUUAGUAGAUCAUCUUACAUUCCAUAUUAUUUCCAAAAUUGAUGGUUGUACACUCGUUUAUCGCCAUGUCUUGCUUUUGUAGAUCGAGGAAGAUAUCUUAAUAUAAUUCUGUUGGAAAAUCUUGCUUUUCAUCAUGUGGUUCACAUUUAAAUCAUGUAAAAGUGCAAAAACGUGCACUUAGAGUAAUCUCAAGAUGAAGCAUUGCCUUUAUUUGAUCCUGUGUCUAUGAAACAUCAGCACGAAAGAACCGAGCUUUACCCAAAUAAUUUUCUUUUAGAUUAGGCGAUAUUGAGUCUAAACUGCCCUCUAUUAGGACCACUGCCAAAUUCAUAGGAUUAAUGCUACAAUCGAACCCUUCCUCUCUCUAAGGGGAAGAAUCUUCUUUCCUAACUUUACCUAAGAACUUGCUACAAAAGGGGCCUUCGACACAUAUUUAUAGAUCUCCAAAACCUCCAAUUCUAGCUAGGAUUUCUAAUAUGAUAAUGAUACUACAUAGGGAAAGGAUAAAGGAGAAAAAAGGGGGGAAAAAAAGGCAAAGGGAUAUGCAAUGAGAAAAAGAGAACGCCGACGCAGGUGAUGAGAUUACUUUGAAUCGACAAAAGGCAUUUCCUGAAAUAGAGUUGAAUUAUAGAAUCACAUAAAAGUCGGCAACAUUUUAUGUAGACUUAGUUGCUCUCUUCUUCUUGUUCUUGUACGAAUAGGACUUAAUUUUGUAGUUUCUCUUCUCAUUCAUCAGCUGUUGUCUCCUGUUGUGUCAAAGAACUCGUAAUAAUUUUCAGGGGAUUUUUUCUUUUCAUAACUGCAUAUAUCUCGCAGAAAUUCACAUCAACUAUGAAUCACUUUGGAAAUAUAGGGUAAUUAUCCAGUAGUAUCAUUUUAAAAGCAUAAUAAAUAAUCGCAGAACUGUAAAUCAGCAUAACCUUCUGUGAUCGGAUCCUAUGCUUUAAAUAAUGCAUGAAUCAUCGUCUGCAUCUUCUCUAUGUUUUUUAAAUCUGCGAUUACAGCUACUAAUUUCUUAAAUCACAUUCCUUUGUGUAUACGUUGUCUCGCAGAAUGCGCUCUAUGGAGUUAACAUAAUCAUGAACAGUGACUUCAAACAUGGUCUUGCUGGGUGGGCUCCCCUUGGCUCGUGUAGACUAAGCGUAUGUACCGAAUCGCCUCACAUGAUUCCUUCAACAUUAAAGGUCCCUCUUGGUCGUUAUAUGCUGACGGCAAAUCGCACCGAGACCUGGAUGGGCCCUUCUCAGAUAAUAACCGAUAAGCUGAAGCUUCAUUUGACCUACCGUGUUUCUGCUUGGGUUCGUGUGGGCCCCACAGCAAGCAGCCAUCAGAAAGUUAAUGUGGCUCUCGGCGUAGACGAGCGGUGGGUCAACGGUGGGCACGUCGAAGCCGAUUCUUACCAGUGGUACGAAGUUAGGGGAUCAUUUAGGAUCGAGAAACAGCCGUCGAAAGUUACCGUGUAUGUACAAGGCCCUUCGCCCGGUGUCGAUCUGAUGGUCAUGGGUCUUCAGAUAUUUCCUAUUGAUAGAAAGGCACGAUUCGAUUAUCUAAAGGAGAAAACUGACAAGGUAUUCAUUUAUUGUCUGAAAUUAAGUUACCACUGCAAAUUGUUCCGCAAUUGUUUGUGCCUGCUUGGGCUGAUGUCUAAAACAACUUCCCUACUCGAGAAGCAGAAGCUAGGUGGUUGCAAUAUGAAAAGUUUAGUUCUUCUGGCUAUAGUGGCGAGCCAAAAUAAGUUUCUGGGUUCCAAAAGUAAACGCUCGAAUGUGAAUCUUUUGCUUCUAGUUGCUUUAGGGGCUCUUAUCUAAACAGUUCUACUGAAACAGCAUUCCUAAACAAUUCUCUAGGCCUCUAUAGACUAUGUUCAGUCUUCUAGUUGUUUUUAAUCUUUAUUUUCGCCCCCUCUUAACUCAAUUGUGCAUGCAUUUUGUCACAGAUAAGAAAGCGCGAUGUCGUAAUAAAAUUGAAGGGAUCUAGUGAAGGCAAGUUUGUCGGCGCUUCAGUAAAGAUCAGGCAGAUGGAUAACAGCUUUCCAUUUGGGUCAUGUAUAAGUAGAUCGAGCAUGGAGAAUGAGGAGUACAUCGGUUUCUUCGUGAAGAACUUCAAUUGGGCCGUAUUCGAGAAUGAACUGAAGUGGUACUGCACCGAGCCCGAGCGAGGAAAGCUCAACUACAGAGAUGCCGAUGAGAUGGUUCAGUUUUGCGAAAAGCAUGGCAUGAAACUUAGAGGCCACUGCAUCUUCUGGGAAGUGGAAGAUACCGUCCAGCAAUGGAUCCGAUGUUUAAACCCUGAUGAUCUGCUGAUGGCCGUUCAGAAUCGCCUUCAAGAUUUAUUAUCCCGUUACAGAGGUAAGUUCGAGCACUACGAUGUGAACAACGAGAUGCUUCAUGGAUCUUUCUACCAAGAUAGACUAGGAAAAGAUAUUAGAGCAUACAUGUUUAGAGAAGCUCAUCGGCUCGACCCUUCCGCGGUGCUUUUCGUGAACGAUUAUAACGUCGAAGAUGGUUGCGACCCGAACGCCACUCCAGAGAAGUACAUUCAACAGGUUCUUGAUCUCCAAGAACAGGGUGCUCCUGUUGGAGGGAUUGGUAUACAAGGCCAUAUUAGCAAUCCGGUGGGCGAGAUCAUAUGCGAUUCGUUGGAUAAGCUAUCAAUACUAGGAAUUCCUGUUUGGAUCACCGAAUUAGAUGUCUCAGCCGCGAAUGAGCACAUCCGUGCGGACGACUUGGAGGUGGUAAUGCGUGAGGCCUAUGCGCACCCUGCCGUGGAGGGGAUCGUGCUUUGGGGAUAUUGGGAGCUGUUUAUGUUCAGAAAUGAUUCUCAUUUGGUCGAUGCCGAAGGGGAGAUCAACGAAGCCGGUCGGAGAUAUCUUGCACUGAAGGAGGAGUGGUUGUCGAAUGCUGACGGACGCAUGGAUAACAGCGGGGAAUUCAAAUUCAGAGGAUAUCAUGGUAAAUAUACCGUAGAAAUAACUACCCCUUCAAAGAAAAUAUCUAAAUCAUUUGACGUCGAGAAGGGAGAAUCUCCUCUAGUGAUACAAAUAUAAACUUAUCGCGUGUAUAAAAGUCGAAGAUUGGUAUUCAUAAUCUUAAAUGCGCUUCAUGUCAUAUUGAUGAGUAGUUAGCUGCUCUUCGCAGUUCUUUGUUUGUUUGUUUAUACAAACAUGGUGACAUGAUGAAAUAUGUAUGCUGCUUUGUUAUUUGUGCAGAGUGCAACUAUUUACAGCAUUGUUUGAUUAAUGUAUUUUUCAAACUAAUAUGUUAGUUUAAGAGAUUGUUGAUCUUUACAGUUAUCUAUCUAUUGCGGAUGUGUGCAAAGUAGUGUUGAACAAGAUAGCAUGUUUAUAGCUUGAGCUAUGAAAGAAAAUUUAUUUUUAUAAUUGUCUAAUGUAAUAGGUAAUGUUUGAUUUGGCCCACUAAGCUAUUUUUAUCUUUAUAAGCGAAAAUGAGCGUACGCAUGCGUGAUGUAACGAUCCGAACCGCUAGCAAUAAUAACUCGUUGGGUCUAAACUAUCGGCCCAAAAUGCUUACGAGUUAUUAUUAUUAUUAGGAUGCGAGACUACAAAAUCAAAAUUUUAUUUUUCAUCUGAAUGCAGAAUUAUUGGGACGUUACAGAUUCAAACUCUUCAAGUAUCUAUAGGAAAGAGCAUAAGAGUGAGAUGUAGAUAGUGGAUUAUUUACGGUUCUCACAAUCUGAGAUAAUAGUAUUGGCAAUAAUACAAAAUAAAAAAAUUUAAAGUAGCUUUUUUGUUUUUAUUUUUGGGUGAGUUUUAAUUUACUUCUCUAUGACUUGGCGCAUUUUUACCUCAGAACCCUAUGUAUUAAAAUUUUACUCUUUACAAUCUAAUUUUUGUUACCCCACAUAAAUAGAACAGUAAAGUAGUACAUUUAACAAAUAUAGAGUGGUAAAUAAAGUAUUUCGCUAUGAUAUAAUUUUUUAUUUUUCUAGGAGGGGCGUUGUUUAUUUACAUCUAUCCCAAUGAGCCAUCUAUCGAAUCGUUGCAAUUGAUGUUCGAUCCAGAAGAGAAGGAAGAGAUCUUCGAAAAGUGGGUUUUUAUGAUCCAAUAAAGAAUCAAACUUAUUUAAGCGUUCCUGCUAUUCUAUAUUUCUUUGAAAAUGGUACUCUGUUUAUAAUAUUUUAAGAAAGACAGAAAUUUUUAAAGAAAGAACUUAUUAUUUCUUUCUCUUCCCUCAUGUUGAGUUUUUCAAUUUUUCCCGCCGAAUGAUUACCUAUAGUAUGUCUCUUUAAAGUGAAAGUGGAAUUCAUCCUUUAUUUUUUCAUUUUUAAAGAAAAAGAUCCAGAUACAAAAUAAUUUUUUAUUAUUUUAAUUAGAAAAGUAUAUUCUAAUUCAACUAACCAAGUAAUCAUCUUCUGAGAUAAGUCAACGCAUUGCAUCAAAAAUAUGCUCAAUUAACCACCUUAUGAGAUAAGUCAACGGACACUAAUCAUUUAAAUCUUGUAAAAGAGUUCGCUCUGUUGACAAAUAUUCUUUUAAAUUUUAGUUUUUUCAAAUCUUAUUUAGCUAGUUUUUAUCUAAAGAAAAGACAUUUAUCGAAACAGAGUUAGCACUACAAAAAAAAUCAUGAGUUUGAUAUGAACUUGUUAACAUCUAUCCAACAACAACAAUCUUAGGAAAUUGAUCAUCUUCAACUGCUGGAGUUAUGCAGAUUUUUGAUUUUAUCUAAUAUUUCAAACAUUUCUAUAUAAUUCUAUUUAUUUAUACAAUUUAUAUUUAUGAUACACUAAAGUUUUUUGGGACACUUUUUUUCAAAUAAAUCCUUAAAAAUUUUUUAGUUUCCGAAAUAAUCCUAUCACAAUUUUAUUUGGCGAUGAAUGAUUCACCAUCUUUAAUAACAUUUAAAAGAGAGAUAGUGAAUCAUUUAUCAUUUCCAACAAAUCAUAUAUAGUCUUAACAACAAAAAAAAAUCCUAACAAUCUAUUCAUAUAAUUUUAACAUCAAUCAAAACUUCUAAUAUUCCACAUAUAAUCCUAAUAAUUUCAUAAAAAUUUUCACAAUAUAUAUAUAUAUAUAUAUAUAGGCUGGGGCUACUAUACUCAUAUGAGUAUAGAGCCCUUUGUACUCAUAAGUUUUUAACCGUUCGGAUGAAAAAAUGUGCGGCUAGGAGGAAAGUGGUUACAGUUAAGUUGAUAGUGGCCCCCCUAGGGUUGAGUGGGUGGUUGGUUGAAUAGUAUAAUCUAACGGGUGAAAAUGAUUAAAGGGUAGAUCUAACGGUCAAAAACUUAUGAGUACAAUAGGCUCUAUACUCAUAAAAGUAUAGCAGCGGGACUCAUAUAUAUAUAUAUAUAUAUAUAUAUAUAUAUAUAUAAACAUCAGAUAAAAAUAUAAAAUAAAUAAAAUAAUUCACAGAUUCCGAAAUAGGGAAAACUUCCUGUGUGCCUUCUAAAAGCAUGUAUUAUUACAAAUGCCGCCUAUAAAAUGAAAAUAUUCUAAAUGCCCCUCUAAUAUAGAAAACUUUCAAAAUAAACCCUUCAAAGACACAUUUUUUGUAUAAAAUGUACAGUAACAACAAUCAAAAUACGAUUUUACCUUUCAUAUUGCCCUUAUAAAUGUUCAAAUUAUACUAAUGAAGACUUAAUUCAUCAUACCCUCUAAACUUCAAAAUAUAUACAAUCCUAAUUUGUUAUACACAAAUAUCCUUACAAAUACUAUCUAUAAAUAUAUUCUCGUUGUCAUAUUCUAUCUCCUACCAAACAUCUAUUAAUUUAGAAAGGUUAUUAUGAAUUAGUGAAAAUGUUCAUUUAAUCCUGAAUUUUUAAAAUUUUUGAAAAGCACUUUAAGUGAUAAAAUGUACAACAAAUAAAUCUUUCAAAACUGCCCCUCAGUAGUAAUUAGUUUAAUAAAGAUAACAAUUAUAUUUAAAUAUUAUUAAAAUAUAAUAAAAAAGUCAAUUCACACUGUAUUUAUAAUUUUCAUUUCCUAAACCUUAAUUAUAAAAUUAUCAGAAAUCGAGUUUUUUUUAAAAAAAUUUGUAAACAAUGCUAAAUCGUUUUAUUGUAAUUUCAAAUCUAGUAAGUAAUUUUAUGCUUUAUAAUUAAUGAUAAAACUGUAAUUUUUCAGCUAUUUACUAUUUUCUCUCUCCAUUUUAAAAAAAUUAAAAAUAUUUAAUAAUAUUGAGUAAGAUAAAAAUAUUAUUCUUUUAGAAUAUAUAAUUCUUCCAGAAAUCAAUGUGAAAAUAUAACUAAAUAACUUUUAAAUUUGUAAAACUUUUAAAUUUAUGGGGUAUUUACAAAAGUUAAAAUUAUUACUAAUAAUAGGAAUAUUUAAAAGGGCAAUUAUGAAAAGGGUAAAAUCGGUAUUUUGAUUGUUGUUACUGUAGAUUUUAACAAAAAUGUGUUUUGAAGGGUAUUUUUGAAAGUUUUUUUAUAUUUAGAGGGGCAUUUAGGAUAUUUCAACUUUUAUAGGGGCAUCCAUGUAAAUACAUACUGUUAGAGGGGCAAACAGGAAAUUGUCCCUUUGAAAUAUGGUGAACAACUUACCACCUUUCUUAUUUUUAUUCAACAUAACACGAAUUUGGCAAGAACAAAGUUAGUUGGUCAAAUAAAAUAUUGAAAGAGUAAUUUGAUCAAUUAGAAAUUUGCUACGAGUUAUUUUUUUUAAAAAAAUACUUUUUUGAGUUAAAUAUGUGUAGGUAUAUAACCGGGAAGUACAUAAUUAUAAAAUGGAUCAUAACCAUGUCUAAAUUUUUCAUUAUUUUUUUGAAUAAUAUAAAUUUAUUAUUUACUUCUAAGUUGAUACUUUUGAAAGUAAAUGCAUGUUUUUUUGUUUUUUUUUUUUAGAGAAAUAAAGUAAAUGCAUGUUGGCCUGUUCUUAGCUAAGAUAGUGGUUUAUAUGCAUUGGUUCUCACUACCCCUUUCAUAUAUAUAUAUAUAUACUCGCGCCAAACUUUAAAAACCAUUAUAUGUCACAUAAACUUUUACUUAAUCCCUUAAUUAGGUCGUCUAUAUUCUGUAAAUUUAAGGUAACUAAUGUUAGUCAAAUGAUUGAGAAACAGCAAAGAAUGCAUGCCAAAAAUAUUAAAGGAUUCUUUUCAUGUUAAAUUUAAGGUAGCUAAUCUUAGUUAAAUGUCAAGAAACAACAAAGAAUGCAUGCGAAAAGUAUUUAAGGUAACCAGUUGCAGUAAAAGAUAAUUUUUUAGCAUUUAAUUGUUAAAAAGUAAAUGUGAGAAUUGUGAUCAAUGAUUUAGAGGAUACCAUGUAGAAAUAGCAUUCCAUGUUCACAAUAUUAAUUUAAGCUAGUGGAUCAACAACAGUAAUUUAAAAUUAAAAAUAUACGAAAGUUACAGCAUGAUCAGCAGUACAGCAUCUGCUUUACAGACGGCAAAGCAUAUAACAACUACCAGAAGAAGAACAGAAGUUUGAUCUUAGUCUUCCGCACCAGAAAAACUCAAUAAAUAACUACUAUAAAGUUUCAGCAUUCAAAUAUGCAAAGGAAAGGUUAAAGAGAAAAAACAGUUUGAAUACCUGUCGAGUUUUAACACUAGUAUGUUUCAGAAUUUAACAGCAACUGGUUCAGAGCAAUAUGGGCAGUUCCCGAAAAGAACAUCAAAUGACCUGAAAAAGCCAAUCGGAAGUGCAUAACAUUUCGAAAGAAACCGAGAAAAGCAUUAAAGCAAAUAUACGAACAAAUACGACAAUAAGGAUUUUAUUAUCCGAACUUACUGCCUUGUUGUUGUGAUUGUACGCAACCAAUCUCUCAAGCAAACGGUGUGGAAAGCUUUACUGCAACUGGCAUUUUCGCAUGUAUAAUCCGGCGCACAUCCACUGCUAGCCCCGAGUUCGUCAGCUUGCGAAACAAAGAAGUUGUAUUAUUUGAAAAACAAGCAAGUGUUUAUCUAAAAUACCAGAUAUUAAUGACUGUUUCCGCAAUGUUGCGUAUUUACGAAGCUGCGUAUGCGAAAGAACACAGAGAUCCUAUGAGGCAAGAAACUCACCAACAGGCAGGUGCUUGGCGUAGCAAAUUCCACAGUCAAGUUGAUCAUCGUCUUCGGCGCUUGCUGCAGGAGGUUGAGGUAAUUGAGUCUCUAAAAUGGUUGCGAGAUUUUCGUGGAAUGCUUUGUCACUUGUCCUAUUUAUUAGAAGUAGAAAAUAAUUACAUAUGCUCUCUAGAACAAAUGAUUAGUACCAAGAAUUUAAGCGCCCAUCAGCGCCAUGCACGCCAUGCCGCAUCAUACCAACAAGAUAUCAGUAUGAUACGAACCCAUGACGAUAGUUAACAAAUAGUUAUCUCAACAAAAUGCAAAAUAUUGAAUAUAUUAGUGGCAAAGAAAUAAAAUAUUUUAUGCCAAUGUGUGUCGGCGCACAAGUAUUUUUUUCUAAACAACAUGCAACAAGUUUUCGGCACAACCCUGUAUCACGGUACUUAAAUCCUUGAUUAGUAUAAAUAUUGAAAUAGACAUAGAACAAACAAGUAACAGUCUAAAACAUAAUUAACACAAAACAAAGGAAAACGUCCUGAAAUUUCUUUUAAUUAAGACCACCACUAAGGAAAAAUGGCUUCAACUCUUCAGGAACCUAAAAUUUGAAUGAAAUCGCUCUUCCUUCUUGGCGCGCUAUGUAUUAUUUGUUAGAUGUUAUACACCAUAUCAAUACAACAGUACGCAAGGAACAUAACUGAUGAAAAGGUCAAGAGUGGAAUACCAUUUUCUGCAAUUCUUUCUCCAAUUCUUUACUAGUAAGUCAACAGUUCCGUCAGGGCCAAGAAAACGGCACCUAGAGAUUCAGAAAUUAAAAACUGUAAACAUGAUAUAGGGCAUCAUCCUCUGUACCAGACAAACUUACUCUGGCAAGGAGUUCGGUUUCCUCGCAUUUAUAUUAAGUAGAAGACAGCAAUCAUCACCUAAACAACCUCCAAAUGUGAAAAAAAGGGGUCCGGUCUGAUUGUUUGAGAGAAGCUAACAAUCAGAAACCAAAAGGGCAAAAGGUUAAUACAAUAAUAAGGAAAAUUCACCAAGAACAACACGCCGAUACGAUGCAGCAAGAGGCGGCUGUUUUGGAUCGACAACCCAAAGAGUCUUGUCAAUGUCAUCCAUUGUGGACCAGAAUUGCUGCAACUUCUUCAAAUGCUGUUUAUCGUUGUAAAACAAACGAGUACGCAUGAUCAAAGAAUGUUUAGAAAUCGUGAAAAUAAAUAUGAUUAACAGCAAUGCUUUUAUGUACCUCGCGAAACUGAUGUACAACAUCUUUCAAUCUUGAGGUUCUCGACCAGUGUAUCUUCGCUACAUACGGUAAGUCCUAAAUUGAGCCAAAAAAAAAAAGGACAUAAAGAUAGAGAAGGUUCUACAAUCUGUAGACAUCAACGUAACAUUUUGUGGAAGUAUGAACAGAGCCAGACUAGCCAUUCGUGAAGUAUUAGUUGGUUAAACUUCGGUAGUCAGUUUUAUUUAUGAUUAACAAAGUUUGAGCAAGGUUUUUGGCCAUCACAAUUCUCUCUCUCUUCCUCCAAUUUCCUCCUAAUGACUCUAUCGGGUACCAGUUUCUGAAGUUAUAGAUACGACCACAUACAGGUGAAGCACGGCUCAAGGAUUAUUUGGAAAAGUUUGGAACUGUAAAUAUGUUGAAUUAAAGAGGUGACAACUUAAAAGAAUCAAAUCAAAGAAAAACAAGGAAAGAAACUUACUGCAGCAAUUGACGGAGAACAUUCAGGGUAGUUUCGAGGCAGCAAUAUCUCCAACUGAUGCGCUCGCCCCUUCUCAUCUCUGGCAAAUAAAGACACAUCAAAAUGUGCACUCCGAGUUCAUACAAGACAAUGUCGACGAGAGAAAGGAAAACAGUGCAUUUCAUAGACAUAAAGUGUGGCAUGUACAUGAAAAGAUGUUACUUCAAAGAAUCAAAAUUAUCUAAGUGAAAAUUUACGGCCUUAUUUCGUCAUACUUCUUCUUUUCAUGCUUUUUAAAAGUUAUAUUACAUAAAACGAACUCACUGUUGGAUGCAAGAUUUUUUUGCAAUCUAUAUAUCUACAGUAAGUGCUUGGCAAAAGAAAGCAAAAAAUUACAACUAAUUUCUUUUUUUUUUUCGCUUCUUUGCUUUCUUAAAGAAGACGAUUUUGCAAGCUAGCGCCAACAACAUCUACAGAAAAGUCCAUGUGUUGAAAUGCUCAAUAGCAGAGAAUUUAGAACCAAAUGAUUGCUCCAAAGUGAAUAAUUUAAUAGCCUCGACAAACAAUAACAGCGAUUCAAGCUCCAACAAACCUGAUUUUGCUUUGAUACAUUUCAUUCGAAUCGCGUCGGCAAAAAGAUGAAUGAGUACUCUUUAACAGCUUACUCUCUCAAUAAUUCUUUAUAUGCUAAAGAAAUCAAACAGCAUAAAUUCACCUUUUCUUUUGCAGUAGACUAUAACUUCGUCUAGACAUACUCAAGUAAACUUCCAAAAACACAUAAAUAAAAGUGUUCAAAAGCAUAAAAUAUUCGAUAUCAAUAUCAUUCAUUAAGUUACCCUCCAAAUGAUGCUUUAACUUAAGCCAAGAAAAUUGCUAAGUUCAGAAGCUUACAGGACGCGGAAACUGACCGAGGACAGGUCGUCCUCCGAAUGUAUCAGAUGCUCCCAUCCAAUCUCUUCUAUCUAUUCAGCGCCAAAAUUCCAAGAUCAAGCAAAAUAAGCAAAUAUGUUUGGUUCAAUUUUUCAUUCGAGGAAAUGCUUUGGGUCCUGCAGAAUGCUGCCUUUAUGGACUGUUGAUGUGUUAGCGAACAGACGUAACACCCUCGGACUACUUGCAAGAAUCAAUCAAAAGCCUCCACAUCAUAUAUGCCAACACAUCAACAACCUACAAAACCAGCAUUUCAGGACUUGCAGUUGUUACUUUUUAGUCCGAGAAGAGCUACCUAUAGGGCCCGUUCCACACUUAAAAUUGGAUUGAACGGGAUAAGAUAAGAUAGCAAUGUUAAAAACAGAGAAGGUUUUUACGAUCCAGGGGCACCAAGGGCCACGACAUAGCGUUGAAGUAAUCAAAUCCCACCCACGAGGUACGUAUUGAGAAGGAUUAGAUGCAAAAAAAAAAAAGCACUACUACAAGCACUCUGUAAAUGCUACUUUUAUAUAUUGCUGAUGUAUUGGCAAACUCAUGUGGCACGUCGGAGUGCGUGCAUAAGCCAGUCACAAACCUCCAUUCACAUAUGCCAACACGUCAGCAAUAUAACGAGAGACACUAUGUAGGGGGACCUAAAACAUUUCUCCAAAAACAACCCCGUGGUGUCCCACCACAUCCCCUGCGUCGCCUCUGAGUAGCGAAACACAUUCUCUCUCAUCUCACCACUCUCUUAUCUUAUACUAUUUAAAUACGGCUAUGUGAAAAACAGGGAUUUUAAUAUAAUGGAAAAAAAAUGCACAUAAAAAAAAAACAAUGGUUCCUCAUUGGGGCAUUUCGUCGAACAGAUGAUAGGAUGGUUUCAGUUGCCUAAAAAAGCAGUGAAAAAUUGGUACCUACCUCAGAGUAGAUUUUACUGUACAGAGAGGGUGGAGGUGGCGAAGGUUCCUGAAACUUCUAGAAUCAUGAGAAAAUUAAAUUAGUUCAAAUUAAUUUAAAUUAAAUUGGUUGAGAAAUGGGAGAGAGAGAGAGAGAGAGGGACCUGCAUUUUGUCUCAAAAACGAAGUGGGGAACAAUUAAUGAAAGAUUUUGGUUUGAAAUUGCAAUUGUUCCCUUCGUUUCCAAAGGACGGGAAAAAGUGUAUUAAGACCCCUCAACUACAUGCUAAUUUAUACUGGAUUCUUAACUUUUUUUUUUUAAUUUCUGGUAAAAAAGUAAAAAUAUAGGUAAAAAUGCAUAGAAGGUCCCUCACCUAUCAACCAUUUAUAUCUGACUACCUGGUCUUUAAAAAUUUUAAUUUUACUAUGUGACCUUUUAAUUUAUUUUAUUUUUUUUAAAUUUAAAUUUUUAUUUAUCUUUAGGAAUUUAAUUAGUAUAAAAACAGUGAAAACAGUAGAAUAGAAUAGGUAUAAAAUUAACAAAUUCGUAAUUCUAUUAACUGAAGAAGCUUUAUAAAUAGCUAUAGUAAACAGAGGAUUUGCUAUUAAUUAAAUAUAACAUAAUAAAACAGGAAAAAUUCAAAAAAAAUAGAUAUAAAAAUAACAUUAUCCCUAAUUUAUUUUGAUAAAGUAACAAGUAAUUUAGUCGAUAAAUAACAUGAAAAAACAAUAAUUAAGGGAGGACGAAAAAAAAAAAGAACGUUAUCCCUAUCUUAUUUCAUAAAGUUUUUUUUUUUGAAAUAGGUAGUACGCUAUUCAUUUCAUUCAUUGAAAUUGAAAAGAUGAACUAAGCUAAAGGGAUGAGGCAACACAAGCCGGGGGGGGGGGGGGGGGCGAGAGGCGAUUCGUCAAUUGCUUAAUCUCGUGAGCUGUAAGGAAGAGGUCCGAUUGGAUCUUCUUAAAAAUCACGUCGUUCCUGACCUCUCAAAUUAUCCACCAGUAGAUUAUCAAUUCAGAUAACGUAAUAAUCAACGACUGCGUUCUAAUCCUUGUCAUCCACUUUUUCCAGACCGAGAUUGCUUCAUCCCCCCAAUUUCUAGACUAGGCAUACUCCAAAGUCGUCACCAUUAGAAAUCUCGACAAAGUAACAUCAAAAAAUUGGGGAUUUAAUAAUUUAAAAGAGACAAAAAAAAGAAAACGUAAACAAAAUAGAAAAAUAAAUAAAUUAAAAUAUUGUGGCUGCUGGGAUUCGAGCCCAGGUCUCUACGGCCACAACGUAGAAUUCUUACCACUAAACUACAGCCACCAACAAUUGUUCAUUUUUUAAUAUGAAUUUAUUUAAUCUAUAAUGUUAUUUACAUUAACCACAAUAAAUUAAUUUUUUGCAAAAUAAUUUAAACUUUUGUUCCCCAAACUAAAAGGAGAAUGAUAAGUUAAUCCUCAAACCUACCCUAAUUGCAAUUUCCAACUCGAAUUUCUUAUCUUAAUUACAAUCCAAUUUAGUCGACAAGAUGCUUAUUUAUGCAUGAGCCACUGUUGAAUUAUUACCAUAUCAGCAAUAUAUAAUAAUUCAAUUUCAGUUAAUUAAUAUUGUUAAAAUUAUUUUUGAAAUUUGCCGAAACAAAAAGUCUAAAUUAUGGCUAGAUACUAUGUAUCUGCUCUGGAAAUAUCAAAACCAGCCUUGGUUAUAUCAAUAUUUUAUUGUGAAAUUUGAUUGUAAUAAUAUAAAAAAUUUGAGUGAAAAAUUAUAACAAUAAGUUAUUAUUUGAGGACUAAAGUGCAAGGCAAUUAAUCACAUAUUUAUAAGUGAGUUAAAAAAUUAGUAAAAAUAUACAGAACUUAACGCAUCCAUCACGCAUUUAGAUACAACUGUUUAACAUUUAAAACUUUUAAUUUUUCUAUCUAAUAUUUUAAUUUGUUCGAUUACAGUAUUUAAAAUAAAUUUGGUUAAAAAAAUAAAGAUAUGGUAUUAUAGUCUCAUUUUCAACCUAAGAAUGUUCAAAUCAACGACUCAUACCGUUAAAACUGAUUUAGGAUAUUUGAAGUUUUUAAAAAUAAAAUUUUAUAUUUUUCGACAUAAUUUUCUUUAUGAUCAAUCCAUUUAAAAAAUAUCUAUUUUCAAUAGUUAUUAUGAUGAGUUUGUAAUUUAAUUAACAGUAUAAAAAAACUUAAAUUUAUUUAAAUUUUGAUAGAAAAUAUUUUAACCAUCUAGAUCAAGAUUAGCAUCUUUGAUUUUGAAUUCAAAAGUCCUAUCAUUAAAUUUUAAAAAUUGUUUAAUCUCCACCAUUUAUUUUGACAUAAUUUACAUUAAGUAAACGAUGUAGAUAGAAAAUAAAAUUUUAUUUUUAAGAACUCUAUAUAUCCUAAAUCAUAUUUAAUAGCAUAGAUCGUUGGUUUGAAUGCCCUAAAAUAAAAAAAUGAGACUAUAUUACCAAAACUCCCAUAGCGAGUUCUGCUACUAUACUUUUAUGAGUAUAGAGCAUUUUAUAUUCAUAAGUUUUCUACCGUUAGAUCUACCCCAUUAAACAUUUCCAACUGUUAGAUCAUACUAUUCAACCAAUCACUCACUCAACUCUAGAAGACCUCUAUCAUCCUAACCGCACAUCCCUUCAUCCAAUGGCCGAAAACUUAUGAAUAUAAAGAGACCUAUACUCAUAAGAGUAUAAUAGCCNUUGGAUUUUAUAUAUAUAUAUAUAUAUAUAUAUAUAUAUAUAUAUAUAUAUAUAUAUACACACACUCCUAUGCUUUCGAAAGUAUGGAGGAUUCCGUACUUGUAAGUUGUUUUCGAUGAUGGGGCAUCCGAUUCGGCGAUAGGUUCCAUUAAAUAUGAUCUACGCUAUUGGAACUAUUUAGAAACCAAAUUUCAUAAUUUUUUGACUUCGUUUGUCUAGUAAACGAGUGACCUCAAAAUAAACGGCUGAAAAUAAAAAUCUCAUAAAAAAUUGUGAUAAAUGACUCAAAUUUCAAAUCGAAAGUAUUGAUUUUGCUAUUGAUGUUAAGUAGAAUUUUCUAGUAAAUUUUUAUGUAAUUCGGAUACUUUUACACCGCUGAACUUAAAAACGUGCCACAUCGGGCGUUAAAAUAAUCAUUUUUGAGACCUUUUGAUAAAUUGGUAAAUGAUGUCAAAAAAUUAUAAAAUUUGAUUUCUAGAUAGUUCCCAUAGAGUAUAUUAUACUUAACGGAGCCGAUCGUCGAAUCGGAUUUCCUAUCAUCGAAAACAACUUAUAAGCACGGAGGUCUCCGUACUUUCGAAAGUACAGGAGGCUUACUCUCUCUCUCCGUUAAGUAUAAUCUAUCCUAUUGGAACUAUUUAGAAACCAAAAUUUAUAAUUUUUUUAUAUCAUUUACCAAGCGAUCAAAAUGUCUCAAAAAUGAUUAUUUUAAUGGCCGAUGUGGCACGUUUUUAACUGGUUUAUGUCAACGUGUAGAAAUAUCAAAUUAGAUGAAAAUUAUAGAAAAUUCUACUUAAAUCAAUAGUAAGACAAUAUUUCGAUUUGAAAUUUGAGCCUUUUAUCACUAUUUUUAUGAGAUUUUCAUUGUUCAGCCGUUCAUUUUGAGGUACUCAUUUACUAGAGAUAUUUGAAGUGCUAGAAAAUAAAUUUAUUAUUUUUCGAUAUCUAUUUGCCUAGUGAUCAAUAGGUCAAAAUCAACAAAUUUCAAUGGUCGUAGUGAGCCGUUUGCAAGUUUAACGGGUUAGAAAUAUCCACAAUCACUGUGAAAUUUUGAUUAGAAAUUUUUUAUACUAUAUAAAACAAGACGAUAUCUUUGAUUUAAAAUUUUAAUGUCAUAAUUAUCACAAUUUGGAUAGAUUUUAUUUUCAGCCGUUGAUUUUGAGCCCUUCGUUCACUAGGCAAAUGAUAUCGUAAAAUCAUAAAAUUUAUUUUCUAGGUACUUCAAAUACUCUAGAUCAAGUUAACGGAGACGAUCGACGAUUCGAAAGUCGCAAAUCGAAAACGAGUUGGAAGCACGGGAAGCUCGUAGCCGGAUAGCCAUAGUAAGCUAUCUCUUUCUUCUUUUNNNNNNNNNNNNNNNNNNNNNNNNNAUAAAAGUAAGUAUUAUUAGGGAUCUAAAGGAUGCAAGCGGCAGAGCUUAAUCUACAUAUUAUAUAAGGAAUGUAAAACUUAGGGUAAAAAUGUGAUUAUCGAGCUUAACGGAGCGCAUUCGAUCAUCGCUGGAUUUUUAGAAAAAGUGUUUAACUUUAUAAACAUUUUUUUAAUUUUCUAGAUUAUAUUACUUUUCUAAUAUUGUCUACCCCGCCGCGCUCUUGUCACGCCGCCGGAGCCCCCCAUGAGGUGGAAUACUCUUUCUAUGGACAUAAAUCGUCAGUCGGGGUUCCUGCUUACCGAAUUCUUACAUUAACGAUAUAGCCCCUUUAUCGCCGUUGUACUCCGUCCUUAGCUCGUUUGCGUUCGAUUUUCAACGUCCUGAAAGAAUGUCAAGAUGCAACGCAUAGGCCGGUGAAAAGACGCCAUUCUUCUACUCUUCUCGCAACAAUUUAGGAUAAUUUAUGAAUUGUUAUUUAAAAAAUAAAAAUAGUACUAUUAGAUUCCAUAUUCGACAUAUUUCUUAUGUAUUGAGUUUCCUCACAUUCCUUUUUAGGCUCCACUCACCUAUUCCUUCCGAUCAUUCAUUUCCCUCACUCCGCUUCCAAUAUCUUAUUAUGAUACUGGUUUGUCAAUUUAAGAUUAACACAGUGUUGUUAACAAAAACUUAAAUAUUAUAUAAAUUUUGAGAUAGAAUAUGUAUUUGUUCCAUCUGGUGAAUAGGCGAUCAGAGUAUAGAAUCAUAUUGAUUAUGUAAAUUCAAAAGUGCGCUUAUCAAUUGAAAUGUUAAAUAUUCGUUUAAUGCCGACAAUUUAUUUUGACAUAAUUUACAUUAAGAGUAACAGUAAGUAGAAGAAUUAAAAUUUUAUUUUAAGAGACUCCCAAAUAUUUCUAUAAUCUUUUUUAAAAAUUUAGGCAUAGUAGUCGUUGUCGUUGAUGCCUAAAAUAAAAAAUGAGAUAUUUUACAAACUCCCAUAGGCAGUUCUGGCUACUAUUACUUUUAUGAGAUAUAGAGAUUUUAUUCAUAAGUUUCUCUCUUACCGUUAGAUCUACUCCAUUAAACAUUUCCAACUGUUAGAUCAUACUAUUCAAGCAAAUCACUACUUGAAACUCUAGAAGACCUUCAUUCCUGAACUCACAUCCCUUCAUCCAAUGGCCGAAAAACUUAUGAAUAUAAAGGAGGGGAAACCUUACUCAUAAGAGUACUAAUAGCCUAAGAUGUAAUAUAAUAGCUUGUCUAUAUAUAUAUAAUAUAUAGAAUUAGCUUGGCAAUACUAUUAAUAGUAAAACACUCCUUUUAUUAUCAAGUUUUUAACUAUGGAUAAAAAUUGUAGGGUCAGGAUGCAUAUUAGUCGGUUAGAGUUGAGUGCGUCCCCUAGGGUUGAGUGCGUUCCACUGGCUGUUAUUAUAGUAUAUGAUAAUUAUAUAUAUAUAUAUUAUAUAUAUACACCACUCCUAUGUUUCGAAAGUAUGGAGGAUUCGUACUUGUAAGUUGUUUCGAUGAUGUGGCAUCCGAUUCGAGCGAUAGUUCGAUUAAAAUUGAUCUCGCCUAUUGAUCGGAACUUUUAGAAAACAAAUUUCAUAAUUUUUGACUUCGUUUGUGCUAGUAACGAGUACCCAAAAUAAACGGCUGAAAAUAAAAAAUCUCAUAAAAAUUUGAUAAAUGACGUCAAAUUUUCAAAUCGAAAGUAUUGGAUUUUGCUAUUGAUAGUUAAGUAGAAUUUUCUAGUAAUUUUUAUGUAAUUUCGCGAUACGUUUAACGCCAUGAACUUCAAAAACGCUGCCACAUCGGGCAGCGUUAAAAUUAAAUCAUUUUUGAACCUUUGAUAAUAUGGUAGAAUUGAUGCUAAAAAUUAAUUAAAUUUGAUUUCUAGAUAGUUCCCAUAGAAUUAUUAUAUUAACGAGCCGAUCGGUCGAAUCGGAUUUCCUAUCAGUCGAAAACAAUCUUUAAGCACGGAGACGGUUCUCUACUUUCGUAAAGUACAGGAGGCUUACUCUCUCUCUCCGUUAAGUAUAAUCUAUCCUAUUGGAACUAUUUAAAACCAAAUUUAUAAUUUUUUUAUAUCAUUUACCAAGCGCCAUCAAAAUGUCUCAAAAAUGAUUAUUUUAAAUGGCCGACUGUGGCACGUUUUAUGUUCACGGUGUUAGAAAUAUCCAAAUUUAGCAUGAAAAUUAAUUAGAAUUCUACUUUAACAUCAAGUAGUAAGACCAAUAUUUCCGAUUUUGAAUAUUGAGUCCUUUAUCACUAUAUUAUUAUGAGAUUUUACAUUGUCAGCCGUUCAAUUAUGAGGCUACUCAUUAUUAGAGUAUUUGAAUGCCUAGAAAAAACUAAUUGUUAUUAUUUUUUUUCGAUAUCAUUUGCCUAGUAGACUGACAUAGGCUCAAAAUCAACAAAAUUGUUCAAUUGUCGUUAGUGGAGCCGUUUGCAGUUUUUAACGGUGUUAGAAAUAUCGCAAAUCACUCUGUGAAUUUGAAUUAGAAAUUUAUUUAUACUAUAUAAAUCAAGACCGAUAUUCUUUAUUUAAUUUAAUGUCUAUUAUAAUGUUCCAAUAAUAAUUUGGUAGAUUUUUAUUGUUCAGCCGCUUGAUGUUGAGCACCCUUCGUUCACUAGGCACAAUGAUAUCGAUAAAAUCAUAAAAUUAUUUUCUAGUUAACUUCAAAUAUCAUAGAAUCAAUUUUAACGGAAGACGAUCGACGAUUCGAAAAAGUCGCAACAUCGAAAACGAGUUGGAAGCCACGAGGCUCGUGCUUCGAUAGCAUAAGUAGCCUGCACUCAGGUAUAUAUAUAUAUAUAUAUUAUAUAUAUAUUAUAUAUAUAUAUUAUAUAUAUAUAUAAUAUAUAUAAUUAAUUUGGUAUUCUUUACGCCGUUAAAAGAGAAACGCCUCUUAUCGACCAUUAAAUUAUAAAUUUGAAACCCUCUUGAUCAUUAGGCAAAUGAUGUCGAAAAGAUUUGAUGAAAUUUGAUUUCUAAACACUGUCAAAUGCUUAUGAUCAUGUUCACAGGAGCCAUCGUCAAUUUGGUAAGCUCUAUUCGAUCGAACAUAGGUAGUUAAAAUGGGUCGUUUACUCUGAUAGUAUUUAGCAAAACUAUAUAUAUUAUAUAUAUAUAUAUAUAUAUAUAUAUAUAUGAGUUGGGCUGGGAUACUAUUAAUAGUAUUUGUCCUUUUUUACUAUCAAGUUUUUAAUCUUUGAAAGAACGGAUGCCAAACAUCAAAGCGGCCCUACAUAUAGCGACCCCACAUAUAGUAACACUUUUAAAUAUAUCGAUAAUUUAGCCAGCAGUACUUUUUUUUUAUCUGUAUCGACAGUAUCGCUAUAUUCCAUUUUUGUUGUAGUAAUAUAUAGAAUUGAGCUAGAAUACUUUUAGAAGCACCAAUCCCUUGGUGCUUCUAAAUUUCUAGCCCUUGGAUCUACUCCUUGAUUACUGAUAGCCUUUGGAUCAAACACUAUUCCACCUACCACCACCUACCACCAUCAUUUCAACCUCACAUCCUUUCAUCUAAUGGCUAAAAACUCAAAAGCACCACCUUCAUGGUGCUUUUGAGAGUAUUCUAGCUCGCUCUCUCUCUCUCUCUCUCUCUCUCUCUCUCUCUCUCUCUCUAUAUAUAUAUAUAUAGUGUAGAGCUACUAUACUAUCGGAAGUAUA
rnacentral:lncRNA from 1 species